rnacentral:lncRNA from 1 species
GGGAGAUGUCUUCAUGGGCCAGUACCAUACAGUCUUUGACUAUGGGAACAUGAAAGUUGGAUUUGCUGCAGCUGCAUGAUUGAAACUUUUCUUUGCUUAAACAUCACAUUUAUCACAUGUUGCCUCCAGAAAAGUAUGCGUUAACAUUAUUAUAGAAAUUGUUCACAUUGUAAGUUAAAUCAGUGAAAUUUUAUUAAAUUAUGAUGUACUUAUAAUUAUGAUUACGAUAUUAUACAAAAUUUCUCUUCAUAUAACAUGAUAUCAAAAUUAUCUUAUCUAAUUUUUAUUUUUAUUCAAAACCCUAUUUUUGUAUUAUCUAAACAGUACUUAGUUUUUAAUAAAGUCGGACUAAUUUAACCUAGUAGUGCAAGUUAUGUAAUAUUGUCUGGUUUUCUCCAAGAGUAAAUUUGAAUGGUGCAACUAUUUUGACUUUUAAUGAGAAAAUGAUUCUAAGGUUUGAGUAGGUGACAUAUUGACAUUAUAAUUUUAUUUUACUUGAAAAUGGAAUAUACUAUUAUCGAGGUGAGAUAUUUUUAUUCGUGUGAAAUAAAUAAUAUUAACAAACUCGAUAUUAGUUAUUUACGUGAAAAAAUAUCUAAUAAUUUUUUGGUCGGAUAUAAUGUGGGAAUAAAAUAAUUUACGAUGUUUAAUUUUUUUCAUUUUUCACAAAAUGCUAAAAAAAUUUUUAAAAAUUAUCUUGAAUUUGGCACAUUUAUUCUGUGUGGGGGCCCAUAUGCCCAUCAGCAAUUAAUUAAAGGUCCUCUUUGUUGUUAUCCAGUGUUACCCGAUCUAUCAUCUUAAACUACCUCCCAAACUUUCGCACCUCCACCUAAACCUCUCAUCAUCAAGUCCACGGUUCCUUUCCUUUCCCUUUCCGAUAAUCCUGAUACACUCAACCGCACCGGAUCAUCUCUAGAUUUUCUUACUUAAUAAGAAAAAGAGAAACCGAAUUUAAAAAUAGUAUCAUCAAUUAAACGGGUCCACGUGUACGGCUAUGAUUCUCCAAGAAGCCCGCUAAUUCAACACUCGCUCUCUUUAAAAUGUCCUCCUUUAUCUGCGGUCUUCGUCGUCCUUCAUUUCUUCUGCUCAGCUUUUCUUGUCGAAAUCAUCACUAAAACGUAAGGAGCUUUUUUUUUUUAAUUAUUUUUAAAAUUUUUUUAUCUGAAUUAGUUAGGUAAUUUUACUUUAAUUUUCUCUCAUCUUUUAGCUUAUUAUGCUUUUGAUUACUCCUUUCUGCUAGUUGUCGGUUUUUUUUUUGUUUAUAGUAAUUUUGUUGUGGUCUUCAGUUUUUAGUUAAGUGAAGAUUAACUGUUUGAGUUUGAUUAAGAGUGUUUUGGAACUUGGAUUUGUUUGAUUUAUAAUUGAGUUGAUUAGGCGAUUUUCGAAGUUGUGAUUAUCUUUUUUAAGUUUCUAAUAAUUGUUUUUUGUUUGGUUGAGUGAGGUGUUGUGGGAUUUUUAGUGUUUUGGGAUCCGUGAAAAGUGAAAUUUCCUGGAAAUUUGAAUUUUAAGUGAAGGUUAACUGUUUGACUAUGAUUAAAGUGCUUUGGAACUUCGAUUGAUUACUUUAGUUGAGUUGACCAUACGAUUUUUGAAGUUGUGAUUAUCUCUUUUAAGUUUCUAGUAAUUGUUUUCAGUGUUUUCUGUUUGGUUGAGUGAGAUAUUGUGGGAUUUUUAGUGUUUUGGGAUCUUUGAAAAGUAAAAUUUCCUGGAAAUUUGAAUUUUAAGUGAAGGUUAACUGUUUAACUUUGAUUAAGAGUGCUUUGGAACUUCGAUUUGAUUAAUUUAGUUGAGUUGACCAUUCGAUUUUUGAAGUUGUGAUUAUUACUUUUAAGUUCCUAGUAAUUGUUUCUAGUGUUUUCUGUUCGGUUGAGUGAGAUGUUGUGCGACUUUUAGUGUUUUGGGAUCUGAGAAAGGUGAAAUUUCCGGGAGAUUUGAAUUUUAAGUGAAGGUUAACUGUUUAACUUUGAUUAAGAGUGCUUUGCAACUUCUAUUUGUUUAAUUUAAUUGAGUUGAUUAUGCGAUUUUGGAGUUGUGAUUAUUCCUUUUAAGUUUCUAGUAAUUGUUUUUAGUGUUUUCUGUUCAUUGAUUGAGAUAUUGCUAAAUUUUUAGUGUUUUGGGAUCUAAUAAAAGUGAAAUUUCCUGGAAAUUUGAAUUGUAAGUGAAGGUUAACAAGUUGACUUUGAUUGAGAUUUCUUUUGACUUCAAUUUUGAAUUUAAUUAAGCUGACGAUGUUGUUUUGAAGUUUUAAGUAGAUUGAUGGUUUAUUUCCAUCCUUUUCUUGGCAACCAAACAUGAAAUUGUGGGAUUUUUCAGUGUGUAGCACAUCAUAGAAAAGCGAUAGUACUUACUUUCUAUUAAUUGAAGUGUAGAGUAACUAUUUAACUUUAAUUAAGAUUCCUCUUAGCUUUAAUCAAAUUAUUUGACCUUUUCUUUUGUGAGAUUUGAAGGUGUGGGUAUAUGUGUAUGCUGUUUUUCUUGGCAACCAAACAUGUGACAUGAAAAAUUCAAUCAUAUAAAGCAUGGAAUGGACACGACAUGAUGUUGUCACAGAACUUGUGCAUAUGUAUUUAGAGUUUAGACUUUGGGGAUACAACUGUACAUGGGUGCAUUCUUUGAAUAGAUGUAUUAGUCUUAGGAGAACUAUAGAUGGUUUUGAUCCCUGCGUAGGCGAAAAGUGGCUGGUGUGCUAGCUUUUAUGUGAAAGUACUAUUUCUAAUUGUGUGUUGAUAUGAUAUUUUUGUGGUUUGCCUUUUGUAGUCCUGAUCAUAUCUGAUUAAAAUCUUGGUUUUGUUGCCUAGCAUUUGCGGACUUGCAGUUAUCAGAAUGGGGAGAAUAGUCAAAACUACUACAGUCACUCUUUUUCUUUGUCUUCUUCUGUUUCCUAUCGUAUUUUCCAUAUCCAAUGAGAGAUUGGUCAGAAUUGGACUGAAAAAGAGAAAGUUCGAUCAAAACUAUCGGUUGGCUGCCCACCUUGAUUCCAAGGAGAGAGAGGCAUUUAGAGCUUCUCUUAAAAAGUAUCGUCUUCAAGGGAACUUACAAGAGUCUGAGGACAUUGAUAUUGUGGCACUAAAGAACUACAUGGAUGCUCAGUACUUUGGUGAGAUUGGUAUUGGCACACCUCCACAGAACUUCACUGUGAUUUUUGACACUGGUAGUUCUAAUUUGUGGGUCCCUUCAUCUAAGUGCUAUUUUUCGGUGAGUUUUAUUCCUUAAAUUGAUAUUGGAGUACUUAAGCAUGUACUUAGGUAAUUUGGAAUGUUUCUUAUGUGUUGCUGGUGUCCGGGUGCAGAUAGCUUGCUAUCUCCAUUCAAGAUAUAAAUCAAGCCGUUCAAGCACCUACAAGGCUAAUGGUUUGUUUCUAUUUCUUGGCUCAUUCUAGCUUUCCUGAAAUGUAUAUCUUCUUGAUUAUGAUUUGCAACACUUUAAUAUGUGUUCAACUCCAACCCUUUUUGUAUCACACAUGAUUUUCUUUCCACUUACCAACCGGUUAUUGUCUGUUGAUCAAUCUAUAAAUGCCACUGAGAACAAACACAGUAGUUGGAUUUAGGUAUUAUUGACUCUUUGCCUUUUGCAAUCUUCGAGCUGCUUUUUUUUUUUUUUAGGUUAAAUAUAAGCAUCGUUUCCUCCAUUUGGAAACUCAUGCAUGUUUGUUCUUAUCCAUAAUCAGUUCUUUUGUGCUUUAGAUUGAAGAAACUUGGAUAAAGAUGAAGGAUAUUACAAUUCAUUCUUGUUUAUUUCAGUCAAAGUGAGGAUAAUGAUGUAAAUGCCUCUAUAUUUUCUUUAAUUAGUCUACUUGCAGGUAAACCAGCCGAUAUCCAAUACGGGACUGGAGCUAUUUCUGGAUUCUUUAGUGAGGACAAUGUACAAGUUGGUGAUCUUGUAGUUAAAAAUCAGGUAUCUUCAAUAAAUUGGUUAUUAUAUAUGUUUGAGCUGUAAUUCAUCAGCACGGUUGGUGUAGAUGGGCUGUGUUUCUGAAUAAGUGGCUUUUUCUUCUUUAUUGUUUAGGAAUUUAUCGAGGCAACAAGGGAGCCCAGCAUAACAUUUUUGGUGGCCAAGUUUGAUGGGAUACUUGGACUUGGAUUUCAAGAGAUUUCGGUUGGAAAUGCUGUGCCUGUGUGGUACGGAAUAGCACCUUUUCUGUUGUUGUGUGCUGUUGUGGUUGUUGGUUUCAGUUUAUUGGCAUAAAGAUGUUUAUAGUAAGAAUGAUGCAACUGGUAUUGCACAGGAUUUUGAUUUUUUAAGUGUUCCAGGUACAAUAUGGUCAAUCAAGGUCUUGUUAAGGAACCUGUUUUCUCAUUUUGGUUUAACCGUGAUCCUGAGGAUGAUAUAGGUGGGGAAGUUGUUUUUGGUGGAAUGGAUCCAAAACAUUUCAAGGGGGAUCACACUUACGUUCCUAUAACGCGGAAAGGAUACUGGCAGGUUUGUAUUCUGAACUUUUCUUUAGUUUUAUAUAGUAUUUGACUUUGUGCAUUCAUUGUAGUAAUGCUACUAUUUCUUUGGGUGUGCAGUUUGAUAUGGGUGAUGUCCUGAUUGGUAACCAAACAACUGGUAAGAAAUUGUUCUCAAAGUUAUGUUAUGAAGAUAAUUGGCACACAUGUUUCAUGGCAUUAUACUUAACAGGAUAGGAUAAUUGAUAAGAGACAUGCAAAUGUUUUGUAGUCUUCUAUUGGUUUCCUUACUUUCUUAUACAUUUUUCAGGACUUUGUGCUGGUGGCUGCAGUGCAAUUGCUGAUUCUGGGACUUCCUUGAUAACCGGUCCUACGGUUUGUAUCAAUUUUUGUGUCUAUUUAUGCAUUCAUGCAUGCUUGUGCAGCUGUGCUUUUGUAGAAAGGUUGUUGUAAACCAUGUUAUAUUUUGUCCUUUCUGUGAUAGUUUCUCAUGGAAACAUUGGAUAGUUUCUCAUGGAAACAUUGGAUGUAUAAUUUUGCACAUGACAGAAUCUCUCCUUUAACUAACAUUCUAAGCAUAUAGUUUCACUCCUUUCCUUCAAACAAUUUUGUGGAUGUAUUUUUACUGUUAUAGUAUUAUUAAUGACUGAAGUGGCAGUAGGUGUUGCCUUCCUUAUAAGGAUGUUGCUAUUGUUUGUUAAGACCUUAAAUUUCACUCUAGAACCCCCAAGGUUGUUUUCUGUCAUAUGGCAUGCUUAUUCCAGCUUAUCUCUCUAAUGAAAUGAACAUUGGAAGAGCAAUUAUUCAUGGCCCUUGAUAUAUGCUACCUUGCAAUUUAUUAGGGUAAUCUGAUGUCUAUGAUCAUAAGUGUUUGUCAGUAGUAUUCAUUGCAUUUUCCUGUGUGUGGAUGGGCUAGUUGCUGCCAAAAACAGUUUGUUGGUCCUGGUCCUUCGUUGGUGAUUUUUUUAUAUACUAUGGUUUCAGGCUAUUAUUGCUCAAGUCAAUCAUGCUAUUGGAGCAUCAGGGGUUGUAAGUCAAGAAUGCAAGACUGUAGUUUCACAGUAUGGAGAGACAAUAAUUGAUAUGCUUUUAUCUAAGGUAUAUAAUUGGUUUUGAACAUGCUUUUAUUGCCUUGUAGCUACAUGGUAUCUGGAGAUGGUUAGAAUAAGAUUCUGGUAGUUUCUUGCUGGACUUCCUAAUUAUUGUUUUUAUUAUUAUGCAUUGACAGGACCAACCACUGAAAAUUUGCUCACAAAUAGGUUUGUGCACAUUUGAUGGAACUCGAGGUGUAAGGUUGAACACAAAUCUUUCUUUUUUCUUUUCCCCCUGUUUUUUAUCUUGAGUGAAAUUGUCACUUUAACUCAAAUCAGUUAGUUUGCUUAGAGAUGUUUGUAUAUGUGUCUGAAUGACUGUGUACUGUUGCUUUGCUGAUGUUGUAAAUGUUUUAUGUUCAGUACGGGGAUUGAAAGUGUUGUGCAUGAGAAUGCUGGGAAAGCCACUGGUGAUUUGCAUGAUGCAAUGUGUUCUACUUGUGAGAUGACAGUUAUAUGGAUGCAAAACCAGCUUAAGCAGAACCAGACACAGGAGCGUAUACUUGAGUACAUCAAUGAGGUGAGUAAGCCUACGUUCUUCGACCUUUUAGAUAUUUUGCCAAGUUUGACUAGGGGCUUACUUUUUUCCAAAUUGAUAAUUGCAGCUCUGUGAUCGGUUGCCUAGUCCAAUGGGAGAAUCAGCUGUUGAUUGUAGCAGUCUAUCUACUAUGCCUAAUGUCUCGUUCACAAUUGGUGGAAAGAUAUUUGAGCUCAGCCCCGAGCAGGUAUAAUGUAUUAUGUUGAAUUUGUGUAAAAUAUUAUGGCUUUUUCCUUUGAUGGGAUGAUGAUUAUCAUGGUUGUCAUAUCAUUUUAGCUCCAGUAAUGAAGUACCAUCAUGGUUCUAUGGGUUCGGAUAGGUCGAAAAUUUAUGAAUUUUAAGUCUGUUGAUGUGGCUGUAAUGGCAUUUUACUUUCCACUGAUUGUUUCUUUGUUCCUGACCUCUCUCCCUUUUUUGGCAAUGGGAAUCAGUAUGUCCUGAAAGUGGGUGAGGGAGAUGUAGCUCAAUGCCUCAGUGGAUUCACUGCUCUGGAUGUGCCACCUCCUCGUGGACCUCUCUGGUAAUCUCUGUCCUCGCCCCCAUAUACAUCCAAGGAUAACUAUAUUGUCUAUGCUUAACUUACAGUCAUGUUAGAUGUUAACUUUUUGGCUGGCAAAUGUUGUAGAUACUGUGUUAAUCUUACUUUUAUUCAUUGAAAUACAGGAUCUUGGGCGACGUCUUUAUGGGCCAGUUCCAUACAGUAUUUGACUAUGGCAACCUGCAAGUUGGAUUUGCCGAGGCUGCAUAAGUGAAACUUUCUGCUUUUAUAAACAACUUCAUGUUAUGCAGUGCUAGUAGUACCCUUAGAACUGUGGGGAUUAAGUAUCAAAUGAUAAUUGCAUGUAAAUAUCUAUGCAAACAUGAUCUGUGAUCUUCACUGGAUCGUUGAGUGUGAUGCACUUUGUUUAAGAAUUUCAUGUGAUCCAUACUUAUCUGUUUACUUAUAAGAACUUAAAUGUGCAACUAAUUUUAGCUUUUAUGAGAGCUAAAGAAGACUUCCAUGGCUACUUGACUAGGAAUGCUGAACUUCAUGUUUCUUCUUUGAAAGGUACGUCACUCCCCGAUAAACCUAACUAUGUUUAAUCAUUCAUGUACUUUACAAUCCAGCCAAAUGCUCAAUGUGGCAGAAUUUAAGUCAUGCAAAGUCGAUGACGUAGUUCAUUUCUUUCCAUGUAUAGAAGAAUUGAUUAAUCAUCAAAUAUUAUUGCAGUCAGGUCUUAUCUGUUACAUAUAAUACAUUUGCCAGCUAAGUGUAGUAAAGUGGGUGGCUGGCAUGGAGAUGGGAUGAAUUUAUAUGCCAGUUUGAUGUUUCACUUUAUGAAACCAUAUGAUUUCUGGACAAUUUUUAUGAGUUCUGUAGUUGGAAAGGAGAAAGAUCAGAGAUGCCGAGUGUCACAGUCUCAAAGGGGAAUCGUGAAUUUCAUAUCUGUUAUGUAUUAAAAUAGUUAAGGUAUUUAAGUGUUCACAUCAUUUUCAAUUUAAGUAAGUCAAAACGGAUAAUAUUUCACAGGUUAGUGUAGAUUGUGACACAGAACUUGCAUUCUAAGUAAUUGGAUUUGAGUUAGAAAUUGAGCUUGCAUUUCUGGCAUAAAUCAAUGAGAUUAGCUCAAAGGAUUGGGUAGAAGAGAAUCAAUGAUCAAUCAAGAACAGUGAUGGAAACAUUGAUUGGAACAAUAAUUAGCAAAAUGUUAGAUAAGGUCAGGAUGUCAGGCUGUCGUUAUUGAUUGUCAAUCCUGAGGGUCAAAACACUUCUUUUGAACUGUCAUCAUGGAAUUAAUAGCCAGCGAGUAUGAAACAGGAGCAUAACUGGAAAAGUAGGUUACAAUUAAACACAAAAAUAUAAUCCAGCUGAGCAUUGUGGAUAACAAAUUUAAGAGAGCUGUGUCAGUGGUUGUUUUUAAGUAUUGCGUUGCUACAGUUUAGGUUGUACAACUGGACAAAAUAAGGCAUUGAACCAUAUUCAUCGUACAAGCAAAUAUUUUAAUCAUUAAGCAAGGGAUUAGGAUCAAGGUUGAAAGAUGCACCCAAGGAUUUAACUUAAUGAUUAGUAUGUAUUUUGUCUUAUUCAAAGAGAUGGACUCGAAUUUUUUAUUUUGAAUAAAAAAAACAUUUUAAAAAAUGACUGAUAAAAAAGAGAAGAAAAUCUAUACUAUUUAAUUCAAUAAUUAGUAUAUAUGUAUUUUUUUUUAUUUAAAGGGCUUAAGUUAAUUCACAGGGUCAAUGGGUUUUAUUCUGUUGACCUGUAAAAUUUUUCCGUUGAUGAAAUAAUUUUUUAUCUUUCAAACAAUCAAAGUGGUAAAAACAUUUAUCAGAAAUCAUUUUCACCUUUGUUUUUUCUUAUUCAAAGGAUGUAAAUCAUUUUUCCUGAAAAAUUUUUUACCUGAUGAAACCAUUUUCACCUUUCAAACAUUCGAAAUAGUAAAAAUAUUUUGGGAAAAUGAUUUUCACCUUUACUAAAGGAACCUUUAAAAUUAAAAAAUUUUAGGAUAAAAGAUAAGAAAGAGACAAAAGGAGAAAAAGAUUGGAGGUGGGAUAGUUGGUUACUGCCAAGAUCAAAAGGGGUUGGUGGGGGGAUUAAAAUCAUGUUUCACCUGGUGGUGCACCCUAGCUGUAAAGAGUCAGUCUGAAAAGGUUUAGCCAACAGUCCAAUUUAAGAAUAUCGGCACCGACCAGCUGAAUCAGCCUUAAAACAAAGAGGCUCACCAUUGACCCCACCAACUCAAAAACACAAAAAAGAGGCUAAGGUUACAACUUUUACAAGGAAAUUGAUUUCUAUUCAGAGAUAAGAAUUACAAACAAAAGUUUCCCUUUUUCAACUGUUAGGAUAGACAUUACUUCAACCUGACUUCAAAAAAAAAAUUGAUACAUAAACAGUGUAUAGUAUUUAUAUAUUAUCAAGUAAUCAAAUCUCUAUACGUAUUAUUUUGAAAAAAAUAAAAAAUUGUUGUUAAAAUUUGAUAUCUUUUCAAGAUUUUAUAAAUUUUUUAUUCUUUUAAAUAAUAUUCUGUUAAUGAGAUGUCAAAAUCUAAUAAUUUAAAUUAUAUAUAAAAAUUAAUAGGCUGUCAAUAUAUCAAAUAUUAAUCUUAAAAAAAUAUUUUACGUUAUCUAAUUACCAUCGUCAAGCCUGACUAAUCCCAGAAAACUUUCCCAAGACUUGGAAAAAAAGCCAGUUGGUUGCCUGCCAACCUCUUUUGCCGGCUCUUUUACUUUUGCUUUGAUUCCCUCUAAUCAAUAGGCCAACUUUGCAAGUUCAUGCCCUUGGAAAGCAAGAGCAUGUUCUUAGGUAGACUAAGCUUUUUUUUUUCUUUUGUUUGCCGAUUUCACGUUGCAAAGAAUUGGGUGUGGAACACGUAUCUCCACAUCCCACAAUACUAAGAUUACUUCAAUGUACCUCAAUUACAAGAAAUUAAUGUAGCUUUUGCACAAGGUUGAGAUCUAUACGUAUAUAUUUCUCAAAUUUUACAAUCGAAAAUCUUCUGUAACGAUCUAUAGCAAGAUUUAUAAAACUUGUUCAAAUAUAUUAUUUUAUGAUAAGAUAUUCUUUUACAAUCUAAUAAACUCGAAUUGAAUUAAGAUAAUACUUUUUAAAUGUAUUUUAUCUUUCCAUAUUCGAAAUCUAUUUCUUUUCUUAACCUAGUUAAAAUUUUAAUUACUUAUAAAUAAUAUUACUUUAAAAUGAAAAAAAAAGGGAUUAAUGAAGAAGAUAAGGUUGAAUAAACAAUAAUUUUCAAAGAGUAUCUUUCACAUCAUUCAUAACUUUUUCUCAAUUCAAAUCAGUUAAACAGUUUGCUAAGUUACUUAACAAGCACAAAUGAUGUAGACAUUCAUUCAUUCAUGCAUGCAUAGCCACAUUCAAGUCUGUCCAAUUAAGCCUUAUAGUGCAGUAAAAUAAUACUGUAUCUGUCUCUAAAUGUUUAUCUUUCUUCAACUUUUUCGAAGAUUAAGAUAAUAUCGAGAGUAUCGAGUAUUGAAUUUUAUUUUAUUAGAGCUUGCAAACUAAGCAAGAUAUAAAACUCGAAUUCGCGCUUACGGUUAACUGUUAAUUAAACAACUUUGCGCCGCAAAACCUUAAUUAAGGAGUUAAUUAACCCCAAUAAUCCUGUUCAUUCAACACCGCAAUCUCGGCACGUGCUCACGUGUCGUCAUGUGAAGGGCUUUAUUACAAGCUUAAGCGACCGCCGUCCGUAGGCGGUCGGAGGAGCUGUCAAAACAAGGGGGAGGGGCACACACAUUGUGCCACGUGGUACGAACCAAGUCCAACAAAGUAAGAAAGAGAUUUUUGUCCAUUUGCGGACGAUCAUAAAUAGCUGAAGAAUCUUUCUUAAGUUGUUGCAUAUGGCUUGGAUUUAGUCACCCAACCCAAAGUUUCUAUAUAUAUAUAUAUAUAUAUAUAUAUACACACACACUAUUUNUAUAUAUAUAUAUAUAUAUAUAUAUAUACACACACACAUUUGUUUAUAUAUCAUAGAACCCAUCUUUGUUUCUUGGGUUGGUGUUCAUAUGGAGUGGAUUAGAGGACCUGCCAUAGGCCGUGGCGCCACCGCCACGGUGUCUCUAGCCACCGCGGUGCCUUCCGGGGAGGUUUUCGCGGUGAAGUCGAGCGAGUUGUGUCACUCCAUGUUGUUACAAAGAGAGAGUUACUUGUUGUCCAAACUGAGCUGUCCUCGUAUAGUUAAGUACAUAGGGUGUGGUGUUAGGAACGAAACGAGUAGUAACAAGCCUACGUACAACCUUUGCAUGGAGUAUGUCUUCGGCGGCACGCUGUUCGAGGAGAUUCAAAGGGUCGGGGGGAGAUUGGGUGAAGAGAAAGUGAGGUUGUACACCAGGCAGAUUCUACAAGGUUUGGAUUAUCUUCAUGGGAAUGGGGUGGUGCAUUGUGACAUCAAGAGCCAGAAUAUUUUGAUAGGUGAAGAAGGAGCGAAGAUUGCUGAUCUUGGCUGUGCUAAGUUGAUGGGAAAAGUUGGUGGUGAUGAUCGAUUCGACACGUCAGCAUUUUCCGGUACACCGGCUUUCAUGGCACCGGAGGUGGCACGUGGGAAGGAGCAGGGUUAUGGAGCUGAUAUAUGGGCUCUUGGAUGUACAAUUAUAGAGAUGGGCACCGGAAAUUCACCAUGGCCGGAGCUGAAUGAUCCAGUGUCAGCUCUUUACAAGAUUGGAUUUUCCGAGGAUGUACCCGAGAUUCCCAAGUGGUUUUGCGAGAAAGGUAAGGAUUUUGUUAGCAAGUGUCUGAGGAGGGAUGCCAAAGAGAGAUGGACAGCUAAAGAAUUGCUUCAACAUCCAUUUGUGGAAGAAUUGGAUACCCAUUUGAAGGAAGUAAAGGAUUCCACCAUGGAUUCUCCAAGUUCUGUGUUGGAUCAAGCUUUCUGGGAUUCACUUGAUGUGGUGGAAAGUCCUAAGAAUUUGAUUCCUGAAGGGAUUUCUUCGAGUUCUCCAGCCAACAGGAUCAAGAAACUGCUUCAAGCCACUCUGUCACCAGCUUCCAAUGCUUCCAAUUGGACUUGGAAUGAAGAUUGGAUCACAGUUAGAAGCAUCGACAUUGAAGAAACCAAGGAUUGUUCUGGUGAGAGCAAUGCCAUCUUAGGAGAUGAUUCUUCAUUUACAACUCCAUCAUUCCUGGAUCUUUUCCAAGAUGAACUUACCAUUGAAAGCUCAAUCUUAGAUCAUGGUAACUUGUUGGAUAAUUCUAUUGAAACCAUCAUUGAUUUUAGCAGGAUUAGAGUUAGAACAGACCUUAUAUUGCCAUUUGACAGUGUAACAGAUGAUUCUUUUGUAUCAGACAAUCUCAAUUUUCAGACAGUUAAUGAAAAUUCUUGUUCUAUUGAAUCUCUUUCCAAUAUCCCAUCUUUCAUAUAUGAAUCAUAUUCUUAAUUUCAAACGGUGAGGCUGAGAUGGCCGGCCGGCAGCAAGCAGGUGAUUAACUUGGCCUGCUGCUGUUUUGAAAAGUAUGACUUCUGAACAAAGUCACCAGCCACUAUUAAUUGCGUUCACACUUCUUUGUGUGAACAGAAGAGACUUUAGGCUCAUGUAGAUAGAUAAGGAACAAGUCAAGCUUGGCUUCUCGUUACCUUUGUGGGUUAAAUAAGAUUAAUAAAUUAAUCUUAGCCUAUUCCACCCUAGGCAAAUGCAUGUGGCGGUUUCAUUAGUUCUGUACUUGCAAAAUGAGGGCAAUUACCAAAAACAUUCCUGAUAAUUUUCUGCAUAAAAUGAGGAUCUAAGUACAUAAAAAAGUCCAAGGGCUUCACUGUUUUGAACCCAGAAUACAUGCAUAUGUUUGGAUGCUAAGUAUCACAGUCUCAAAGAAAAGUCGUGAAUUCUAUGUCAACUGUGUAUUAAAGUAUGAUUGAGUAUUUAAGUGUUCAUACUCAGUAAAUAAUACCUUACGGGUGGGUGUAGACCAUGACACUAAAGCUGUGAGGUUUGUCGUUGUGGAAUCCAGUAGAAAUAGAUUUUUCUUCUAUGUCUUACAGUUACAGCAAUGGAGAUUAAGUCAAAACAUUGAACCUAGUUUUUCCCCUUGAUCUUGAUUAGUUGCAUCACUCUCUUCUAGAAAGGCUGAUGCUGAAGCAUUAGGUGCUUGAGGGAGACUGGAAGGGAGGGGGGUUGACUUCAUUUUUUUAAUGUAUCAUGCAAUGACUUUUAACAGAGUCAAGCUAUCAGGAAGGUCAACUGCUCUCAGUCUUCUGUGAAGAAACUUCACAUGUGAAAGCAAAAAACAGAAGAGGCUUUUAGGUGCACAAGUGGGACAAACAGACAUUGUUUUGGUUUGCCUAAUCUUGUUUGAGUCAACUGACAGAGAAAUGAUGACUAAGCAUUACCCUUUUACAAUCUUGGUUCAACAAUGGCAGGUGUAUUUACUUACUCAGGCCAAGUAUCAGCCUUUCACAUGUUUGUUUGACAAUUACAUAAUCUUUGUCCAUGAAAUUGAAAAUUCCCCAUCUUUGAAACCACCAGCUGCAAGUUAAUCCUUCUAGACUAUUCAUGAUUUGAUUCAUUGUAGCCUUCUGGUUUGGGUCCAUCCCAUGCCAGUUUUCCAGUCUCAGGUAAAAAGUUCAUUCAAGUUCUGAAGGAAGGUCUGAUCUAGGUUAUUAGAAAUUUUGAUUCAUGAUUGAUAUCAGACAACAGGAAAAGUCUGUCUGGCCAUAUAAUGUUUGAGCAAUUUGAUGAAUCUACCAUAAUCAACACCAUGAAUUUCAUUCUUCUUAUUCUUGAAUCUUAUCAUAACAUAAGACCUUGUCUUAGGCAUGUUUACAUUUCUGUUUUAUCAAGUAAAUUAAGCAUAAAGCUUUAGUCUACGAAGACUAAUCUUUCAGUCUAACAUCACUUGUUCUGGAAGCUGUUGCCUUCUUUGAGUGUUCUUGCUUUAGAGAACCUUCUACAACCUUUGGUUCUGCUUUUUCAUCUGCCUCCAAUCUCCUCCUUGCUGGAUUGAGCUCUUUGAUAUGGUAGUGUAAUCUAUAUGUAACCAGUGCAAGGAAUAGAGCAAACCCUGUAAUAUAAUCCUUUGAUAUGAAAGUUAGAAAACUUCUUUCAAAGGGUCAUUUGAGCUUUUCUUUUUUGCUAAGAAAAUGCACCCUGCUGAUAAUUUCGAAUGAAAAUCUUCUACUCCCGUUUGAUGUCCUGUUUGAUGUCUCUAUCCUAAUUUUACACGACGUAUCUAAUAAACUUCUUAUAUUAACGUCACUCUAACCGUUCUGUUAAAAUUAGGGUUUUUAAUCAAUAAUUAAGAUUGGACACGUGAUAUAAAUUUAUGAAAGAAACGAGAUACCAAGUGGGGGCAGAGGAUUUUAAUCUGACAAUUUCAAGCAAUUCAGGCAAUGGUACAUAAUGAGCAAGGUUAAACCAUCUACUAAGAUUAAUUAUAACUUUUGCAGUGAAUGAAGAAUCAAUGCUGUAAUUUUACCUAGUCUAUGAAGCAAUCUAUACAAGCUAGUAAAGAGCCUUUUCAGACACCAAUUUUCCCAGUCUUUAAGUUCAGCUUACUUAUACCAUAUUGGAAACAUUGUCAAACCCAUGGUUUCUACAAAUGCAGCAGACAAGACAACAGAUUAAGAUUCAGUCCUGACAGCUAGCUAGCUAGCAAGCAUAUCUUAAAGCAUGAAAACUUAGCUUCUGGAAUUGGUCUACAUGGUUAAAAACUCUUACAGGAACAUUAAAUUCAAGUUCAUGAUGAUGAAUUACCCAUAAGGGAUGCUUCCAGGAUUCGAUUGGCCAAGAGAACCUCAUCAGUUGGAUUGAUCACACCUCCUUCCAGUGCCCGUUUCUGGAUCUCUAUUGCGUUGUAUGAGAUGGAGAUAAAGACAACAAACAAAGUUCCUGCAACAGUCUUUGAAAUCACAGGGCCUCUCCCUUCUUUAAUCUUGUCCAAUACCUUGAUCACCAGGUUCCUCAGAGGAGAGCUGAACAGAAGUACCAAAACCAGAGCCAUUUCAGCAGAAACAAGUAUGAACAAGAGAUGGAACAUGUUGAACUAAUGAAGCUAUUCGGGAAAAAAACAUACAACUGCAAUGGGUUAUGAGGAAAUCAUAUUCAAAUUUAUGGGGUGAAAAUGACUUGACAUGUUGAAAAUAUUUGGUAUCUGCUUCAAAACUUCAGCUGUUGGUUCAAUUAAAGAAUUAUUCUUUCCAUAACUAACAGAGAGGAUAGAAUAUAUCUUCACUAAUAGGAAAUGUGUGUAACACGUGUUAACAAGGUGAAAUCGAAUAACUUGCAGGCUUAGUUUUCAAGCAGCACAACAAGAACUUUCUCUAAUCUUUUUCUUUCUUACAAUUCCUAUGUAAAAACAUAGUGACAUUAAGCCAAAGGUCUAACAAGUUACUAAAUAGCAAAUUACUAAAUAACAAAUGAGUUGAUAAUCAUGCACCGAUCACUAAAUCAAAUAUCGAUUAUAAUAAGUUUAUUAGUCUUGUAUCAUUGAAGAAAAUCACCAACAUUAAAGUGCUAGGCUCUUCGACGAUUGGUUAUGCACUUUCUCAUGCACUUUGAGGCUUUUUUUUUUUAAAUAUGUUCCAAUAAUUUCUUUGUUCUGUCUCUACUCCUCAACAAAUUUAAAAGUUCAAAAACUUUGCCCUCUAUACGACUCCACAAGGGUGUAGGUUAGCUCAAGUUGAAGAACUAAAGCCUGAUCAUAUUGUAUUUGGGCUUUGAGAUCUAUCUAUACCCAUCUUUUCUUUCUCAUGACAUAACUUGGACUGAACUUGGGUUUGAUUGAAGAAUUUACGCCUGAUAAAUGUUCUAUAUGGGCUUGGACAUCAUAGUCCAUCUCUCCUUAUCCUUGUACUAAAGCCCAAGAAAACUUGGGCUGGUAAGAAACCAGCUGAGCUGAUUGGUUUACAAGUGUUCGACUGAAUUCGACUUGGGUUGAAGAAUUAAAAUCAAUUAAUGCCUGAUAAAGUAUCUAUAUGGGCUUGGGCAGAGUCUAUCUGACUGCCAACCCUUUCACCUUCUGGGCUUAUGGCAUUAAGAGAACUUGGGCCUACAAGAAAUCCACAGAGCUCAUUCAUGUCUGGGCUUGGACAAAGUCUAGUUCUCUCUUCUUUUAAUUAAUUACAUUUUGAACAUAUACAGUCAACGUAGAAAUUGUACAUGAAAUAAGCUGGUCGACCAGAGUUUUCAGUCUUCCAUGGCAAUGAAGAUAAAAAUGGAUUCAAAGAAGAAUCAAAAGAGCUUGCUUGCAAACUCUUCAUGUGUUGAAGAAUGAGCUGGAUGGGAUGCAUCUGCAAGGUCUCUGAGCUCUGACAAACUUCUCCCAAGCUGAAGAGCCACUUUCACUUCAAACAAUUCUCCAUUUUCCCUCUCAUCUGCUUCUGUUUCCCCCAAGGUUGAUUCUAUGGUCUCUCCCAUGAGCCUGAAGAAUCCAGCAGAGCUCCUAUACAUCUCAAACACCAUACCAAUCUGCCCACCAUGCUCCAAAUUGUUAACAACAAUUGCCAUAGCUCCGAACACUACACCCAAAAUUGCAGCAAGUGAGCCACAGAAAGAUGAUCCCAUCAAGGCAGAACCAAGUGCAGCUAUGCCAGUGAGCAAGGGGCCACAUAUAGCUAGAGUUUUAUUGAUUUUCAACACUAUUUUGCUAAGCCUGAUGUAUUCUUCAGUGUCUUUUCUCUUCAAAACCCCAACAAUUUCCUUCAUUUCUUCCUCAAGAUCCUCAUCCCACCCGUUUCUUUCUACUUUCCUGACCAGCUUUUCCUGUUGAGCCUUCUCUUCUGGCCACCACACAGCUGGCUUUACAAGUGAUGGAAACUUAUCAAGCAUGGUACCAAGCAAGGGAAGUGGAUAAGCUUUAUCCAAUGCCAGGACUUUCUCCAUUGCAUCUUUCACAUCAUCAGAAUCCGGGUUUCCAAGAGCAAUGUUUGUCUUCAUCUCCUCAUGGAGCUUCUUAAAUAAUCUCGAAGCAUUCCUUUGUUCUUCAGCCAGCUGAGAUGGCUGUAUCUUGUUCAUCACCACCAAAACCCCGGUUGCUGCCAUGUAAAGCAAACUGGAAGAUAGCUUCAGAGCCAAAAACGAUGCUCCUCCACCUCCUCCAACAGCUACAAUUCCAGCCAUUAUGGAAGCUGUGACUGUCAUCCCGUUGACAGAAUUCAACAGAAGCCAGUUCCAGUUAUCACGCUGUGCUCCAAUAUUCUUGUGCAUUUCAGCUCUAUCUGCUACAAUGUCCAUUAUAGCAUACAUCUUCCGCAACACCAUUGAAUUGAAGAUUUCUUCCUUGUUUGCAGGCUUAAUUUCUACCAGGGGAUUGGUUGCUUCAAAGGUUUUCAACCCUUUUCUUCUGUGGAACUCAUCAUUCAGGAUCUUAGAAACUGAAACAUUUGGGUUACUAAUUAGAGCACUGACCCUGGUUUUCCUAAAGGAAGCUGAGGAAGAACAGCCAGAGAAAAAUGGUGAAGAAGCCUUAAGAAUAGCCAUGAUCACUUUGGCUUUUGCAGUUAAAUGCGUGAGAAAUCUGAUGUAUUUAUGCAGAAGUAAACGUGUCUGACUUCUUCAACAUGAAUGAUUUUCUACCACAACUUUGUCUAUGAUCCCCCCUGACAAAGCUUUUUGACUUUCCAUAUUGGCUAUGGAGGUGUAGACUGGGUUGAAUAGACUUCACUCCAUUAAUUCACUAUACAUUUUCAUUGCUAAAGAAAGGUGCGAACUAGUCUGAUCUCCUUGGCAUUUUUCACUUGGAAGCUCUCUCCUCUGGCUGAACCAAACUGGAAAUUCCUAUGGUCUGCAAAACCUCAAAUAGUAUAAUAUCAUACAAAGUAGGGAAGAGGAAGUAGGUAAAUUAAAAGGACAAUAUAUUUUGUGGUGGAGGGAGGAUUUGGGAGAGAAUAUCAAGGUAUAUUUAAUGCAUUAGUUUUGAGAUUAUUGAUAAUACGUUUUUAUAAAUUUUAAAAAACAAUUGAAUUAAGCAAAUUAACAAAAUAUCAAUAAUUUUGAGAUUUUUUUACUUUUUUUUUUCUUGAAUCUUACAUGGAUUGUUUUUAAAGGUUUUGGAGUUUUUAAUAUUAUUUAUCAAUGAAGUGAUAGUUUUUAACUAAUCGAGAGUGUAAAAUAUGAAAUACAUGUUAUAUUGUCAACGUAUUAAAUAACAAAAUAUAAAAAAAAUAUGAUUUUCAGUCAAUUCAAAGUGUUAAGUUCCUCCAUUUUCUUCAUAUUUCACGAAAAAAACAACAUUUUCAUGAGAAAAAUAUUAGGAAAAAGAGUGCUUGGUAUGAUGCCUUGGGUCAAAAAUUUUGAUUUUUUUUGACCAUUUACAUGUAAAUCUCGAGUUCUUUUUCUAUGUGGCAAUAUAUAUAUACAAAAACACACGACUUUUUCCAUUUUUGCAUGUCAUGAAGAAAACAGGCAAACUAGAGACACCAAAACCUGACCAGGAUUAGUCAGUUUAGGACGGUGGGAGAAAGCAAUCACAAUGUGAAAGAUAUGGCAAAGACUAACCAUACGACUCUCCUUCAGUCAAGGACAUAUGUCAGCAGCUGCAAUAACCUAGGAUGGCCAGCACGGCCGGUGGACUGCCGUGAGGCCGGGGGCAGUGAUGGUUGGAGGAGUAAAGUGUUCACUCUAACUCCUGAAACAUUAGUGAGUAGACAUAACCCAUCUGUGGAACUUGAACUCAAACCCUAGCAGCAUAAUUAUCAAGGCCAUUACAAGCAAAAGUUACAGAAUCCCCAAAUGGAGAAUUGAGAGGAAAGAAAUAGGCAAAACCCCCCACCUGAAAACAGGAGUCUAAUGUUAAGAGGGUGCAAAGGAUUAAAUACCACCGUACAUGAGUCUCAGAAGAAACCAAAGCUUUCCAUGUCUGAUUUUUCACAUUGAAAGUGUCACUAAUGUCAAUUUAUGGAUAAUACAUUAAACCCUCCAUUGGUGUUAUGUGUGCCCUUUACACCAGAAUUUAUAAAAGUUCGGACAUAUUUGCACAACAGAAAAUAGAAAUAUGUAUUUCAAUACUCGAUAUAUUUCAGCAAUGGCCAGCCGCAAUUUCGGAACUCAUUAAAGGGUGGAAUCAACAAAUGAUACCCUACAAAACUUUAGACACUUAUUGUUGUUCAUUAAAAUAGGAGGUGUAUAUCCAAUGCUAGAUGUGCCAGAAAAACCAUGAAAUAUCACAGCAGUCGCUGGUUAAUGCCUUCAUACAUCAAGUAGCAGCCUACGAGGGUCCUCCACGACAUCCUUGAUACGACGCAAGAAGAAUACAGCCUCUCUUCCAUCAAUCAGCCUAUGGUCAUAAGUGAGGGCAAUGUACAUCAUUGGUCUUGGGACUACGUUACCUCCAACAACCAUUGGCCGAGACACUAUUGAGUGCAUACCCAAGAUAGCCGACUGCCAAAAAAUUGUUAAAUUUAUGUGAGAUUCUCUUUCUGGCCAUAAACAAAAGCUAAUGAAUGAGAAACUCAGAAAAGUAAGCAAACACCUCUAUCUAUGAUGACAAGUCAAAACUGUAUGGAACCUCCAUGCAUAUACAAGGAUGUGUAGGUGCAUAAUAGUAAAUGCAAAAGAGUUGUUCAUUCAGUUCCGUAACCACUAACCUGUGGAGGGUUGAUAAUGGGGGUACUCAAUAGACUUCCAUAAACACCACCAUUGGAGAUUGUAAACGAGCCUCCAGCCAUUUCAUCAAUUGAUAUGGUCCCAUCAUUUGCCUUCUUCGCAAGACUGUUGAUUGUCUUCUCUAUCUCAGCAAAAUUCAUCUUAUCAGCAUCACGGACAACUGGAACAACAAGCCCCUGGUAGGAAAGAUACAGGAACAAAAAGCUUAACAUAGAAACAUGAAUCACAUAGUUCCUCUCCUUUUUUCUUUUUUUUUUUACUUUUUCAUUGCAGCAAUGAGGUCCAUGCAUAUAUUUAUCAAUACUGGCACUAUACGAUCAGCAGAGUAAUUUUAAGAUUGAUAUAAUCUUCUAGAUCUCCCUUUUUCUCAUUUGUCAAGAAAUAAAACAAAGCAACUUCAGCUCAGCAAUAAUGUUUAACAAGUCUAUAAUGUUCUUUAUUUAUUAAAGGACAAAGUUUUGAACCCACUCAUUAGUCAAUUCAACUUUAAAAACUGCUCUAAGUUCAGAUAAACCCCAAAUAGAUUUACAAAUUUCUUUCAAACUGGCCAAGAAAGAAUGCUAAAAAAUAUACUGAUGAUCCAAGUUGCAUCCAGACAUUAAAUAGCUUAAUUGCAAUUUGGCAAGGUCAAAAAAUGUCAAAAAAGAACACAAUCAACAAAAAUUUUUACAAACCUUUGGAGUACCAACAGCAAUGCUGAUAUCUAUAUAAUCUCUAUAUAUAAUGUCAUCCCCAUCAAUUACAGCAUUUACAAUAGGCUGAUGCUGAAGUGCACUAACAGCAGCCUGAGACAAUAAAAUAGAAGAAAUGGUAAGGGGAAGAGAGAAAAAGCACAGUUAGUGAAGGCAAACCAUCAGUGCAUAUGUGAGCAAUUUAUAAAAAAAUCAUUGCAUACUUUAACAAAUCCUGACAUAAAUCCCAACUUGACACCAUGUUUCUCAACAAAAGCAUCCUUGUAAUCAGAGCGGAGCUUCAUCAAAUUAGUCCUACAAUGAGAAGCAUAUCAAUAAGAAAAGGAGACAAACAACAGAAUCAGCUUUAUCAUGACUAAACCAUAGCCUUCAUAAAGUAAAACUGAUCUGAUUUAACUUCACAGAAAACUUGUGCAAGAAAAGGGAAGCAAAUAGUUCAAUACAGUCAGAACCAUCUGAACCAAAACGCAAACCGAAAUAGAAAUGUUCACAAAGUUAGGUAGCACAGGCAGUCAGCAGGAUGACAAAUACCUGAUAUAAAGAACUAAAAUAUGAGGGAACAUUGAACUCACAUGUCAACCUCAUUGAAUGUUGUCAACAUUGCAAAAGUAUUCUGAGAGUCUUUCAAUCGUGUAGCAACCCGUUUCCUAAGCCUUGUCAUAGGAACCUGCAAUCAUGAAGCCAUUGAUACAGAAAUUCAGGAUUUAUUAUCUAAGAAGCUAACAUCAUUUUUUCCACAUCAGAAAUUCUAAGAAUACCAUUUGGAUGUAAACAGCAAAUGAAAAGACUUACUCGUCUUUCCCUUUCCUUGGGUGGAAGUAUAGGUUCAGUAGCAGUUCGUUUUGGAGGUGGCGGAGAAGGGGCUUUAGGCUUUUGUGCAGCAGGAGUAGCUUCAACUUUAGCUACUGCUUCAGCUGGAGGAGAUGGCUUGGAAGCAACUUUUUCUGAUUUCUUUUGAGCAGGAGCAGCAGGAGCUACACCUUCUGCGGACUUCGAAAUGAUAGCAAUCUUGGUUCCUGGUUCCACAGUAUCUCCUUCCUUGGCUACAUACUGGAAGUAAUCAUAACAUUAACAUUCAGGAUCCAGUCCACUCCCCUUUCUCACAGAAAUGAGAAGGUAGGGGUCUAGGAAUGACCAACAAGCUAAAAAUGUGUGUGCAUGCAUUUGUGACCCAAAGAUCCAGAUCUAUAGAUAUAUUACCUCUUGAAUCACACCAUCUUGGGGGCUAACAACAUCAAUUGUUACCUGAUGAAAAUAAACACUACAGGUAUUAGCAAUAUGAACAAUACUUUCCCAAUAGAAGAAAAGGUGGAGAUAGUACCUUAUCUGUUUCUAUCUGAGCAAUUGGUUCAUCAGCUGCUACUCUAUCACCAGGUUCUGCUCUCAAAGAUUCAGGUGCAUACACAAUCAAGCACUUAAAAUCAUAGAAAUACAAAUAUUUCUAGUGAUCAGAAGGAAAUUACAGUAGUGGAAAACAUACUUUUCAAGAAUGUUGCCAAAGUGCCAUCAGUGAUUGAUUCUCCCAUAAAAGGAACAACAGCAUCAACUAGAUCCCCUUCAUCACAAGUAAAUAAAUGGGGAAAGUUAAAAUUUUUUAAAUUCAACAUAAUAGCAACAUAAAAAGGAAUGAAUGGCUGUUCUCAAGCAGACACCUGUUCCUCAUCAAUAUGUACUUUUUUCAAGUAAAAAGUGCACUAAAAAUAACAAAAGGGUGCAGGUGCAAACCUAGUACCACAGGAGUUCUACCCAAGUUAUUAUCCAACAAAAGUGCAGCCAAAAUUUUCAUACUCAUGCUUUUACACUAUUCCAGAAGAAAUUCUGAACUAAACAAUUUCCUUCUUUUGACACAUUGCUUGACCUAAUACCUCUUGGGCAGCCCAACUGCCAACUUUGAAACAGGUUUGACAAUGGUUAGAUGUUAACGGUCUAUUCCAGAUAAAGUGGUUAUCAAAUGAAGAUUUAUAAUGCAUAGGAAUUAAAUUCUUACAAAGACCAAAAAAAAAACACCCAUGUAUUAAACAACCAUUUGACAGAAAGACAAGAAGAGAAAAAAAUGCUAAAAAGCCUUCGGCCAAAUAAAUUUCACUAAGGAAAUUAGCCAAUAUCAUACCAUCUCCAGAAGAGAAAGCCCUGCAUGACUUUUGCAUGAUAGCCUCUGACCGAAUGCUAGAAAUGACAUCCCUGCACAUAAGAACAGCUGUUAGGGAACAGAAGUUCUAAGGAGCACCAAACUCAUUUAAAGAAUUAAAAAAAUAAAUCAUAGAGCAUUGAAUUUCCGGUUUAGUUUCCCUACCUAAUCUUGUCUCUAUAUAAACAAAAUUGAGAUGGACUACUUUGCGUUAAAAUGGACCUGCUACUAAAGAUAGUUAUGGUAAUUACAUACAACCAUCAGAUUAAUCCAGUAGUCACCUCACACCCUCACUGUGUCAAGUAAUGACUAAUGAGUGACAGUUUAAUUCCUAAUACUGGCGUGCAUUACAAAGUUCAAAACCAACUAACCUUGUCUUCGUUAAACCAGCUGAACAGCCUGUAAUAAUCAUGAAAUGAUUUUCAUUAAUAACAAAGACAAUCAAAACAAUUAUGCCAACAUGAGAAGAGAAGAAAACCACCCAACAGAUUUACCUGGCAGAAUGAGAUGAGAGAAGUUCCGGACAAGGGCAACUCCUCUUGCUUGAAGUAAUAUUAUCUGUUCAAACACUUCAAAUUUAACUCUCAUGAGAAUAUUUUCCAAGGGAUGAUAAAACCCAAACCCAAAAUGAUUAAAAAACAAAAGCUUCCAUUUGCUUAUCACUUUUACUACUUGCUUUUCUGCUUCCAGAGAUGAAAACACAAAGAACAACCACAUUUAAAGAUUAAAAAUUCAAAUUUUACCGACAACAAAAUGCGUCAUUUUCAUAAAGCAACUUUUGGCAAAGUCUUAAGUAAAUCAAUCAUCUUCAAUAACAGUCAUGGAUUUGAUAGCAUAGAGAUCAAUCAAAAUUCAAAUUCAACAGAACUGCAAAUAUGAUUACGAAAUUCCAAAUUCAUUUUCAACUGAAUUAUUUACCUCUUUUCCAGCAUUCGAAGAAACUCUAGAUGCUGAAACACCCGACCCAAUCGCCUGCAAUGACUUCCCUAACACCUGAAAAAUCAAACAAAUUCUAAUAAAAUCCAAGCGCUAGCUAAAUAAAAUACAAUUCAAAAAAAAAUUUAAGCUCUAACCGAAGCUGAUGAGCCUCCGCUAGCAACUUUUCUCCUCAAAGCGCCCAACAUCACCGAUAUUCAAUUCUUUUUUUUUAUCAAAAUCACAAGCAAAAAAUAAAAAUCAAAUCAAUAACGAAAAUUCAAAAUUAUAAAAAAAAUCCAAAAAUCAAAUAUUUACGAGAUUUCUCCGAAUAAACACUAUCAAGCUCAAUAAAAAUUUAAAGAAAAAAAAGAAUAAAUGAGACGUGACGGAAGGAAAGAUCGACGAGGUAGACAGAGAGAGAGGUUUGACCUGAUUUCUGCAGACAAAUUUGAGUCGUAGGGUUUUUUUAAGCGAGAUGUCGCUUUUCUUCUUUGUGCUUAGAGAGAGAGAGAGAGAGAGACCGCGAAGAUGCGCGUUUAGCGGGGCUGCUGUAUCCACUACAGCAAAGCGCAUUGGCGAUCGUUAACGUGUCGUGCUUUUAUUUGGAAUAAAAGUGAAAAGUGAAGAUUCUUUUCUUGUCUUUACCGAGAAUUGGAAAAAAAAAGGAAAAUCGCAAACGGCGUCGUUUGACUAGUAAGACAAGGACUGAGCUAACACCCGAACCAAGAACUUUGGGCUUAUAAGACUUUAGUGGGCUGGUUUGGUUUAGAAUUGGGUUGGAUUGAUCAAAGUUUGGCCCAAUUUAUGGUUUGAACCAUGAAGAAUAUUAAUUCAACACAUUGAGCCAAUGAUUUGGACCCUUAAGAUUUUGUUACCUUAAUGAGAUUAAGGUACUAAUAAGCAAAUUAGGGAUCAUCAUAAUUGUCAUAUUAAUACUAUUAUGGUACUAAUAAGCAAAUUAGAGAUCAUCAUAAUUGUCAUAUUAAUACGUGUUUGACUAAAAUCGAUAAAUAUUCAAAAUGGGACCAAGAGAGUAUAUAAUAAGAAUGAUAUAAAUAUUCAACAUUAACCACCUCCGUAUUACUAUUAUAGUAUUAAUGAAAAAUGAUUUAUUAGUUUAAUGCAUAUUUUGACUAAUAUUAGCUAGAUUACAAAAGAAGAAUGUUGCAUUUUCAUUUAAUUCUCAAAAAUUAAGUUUCCCUUUUUUCCUUAAUUAUAAAUUGGCAAAAGAAGAAUUUUUGGUAUUCAUUUAAUUGUGAAAUUGAAGUUUACUCUUUUAGCAAGUACGACUACAGUGUUCACAAGAUAUAUGGCAUUGUCAUUAAAAUGACCUUAGGUGGUUGUUCUCAAUUUUUGUGAUUGAAAAUGCAUUAAUUGCUUUUUAAUUUGAUUGAGAAAUCAUGUCAUAUAUGGUACAUAUAUUCAUUAUUAAUUAUAUUUAAUAAAUAGAGAGAGAUCGGUAUUGUCGGUUGGUCUAUCGUCUAGGUGUGGAGAAUUAAAAAUAUUGUCGUACCAUGUGACUUUCACAAAGGUAAAAAACUUUAGUUUCGUUGUAUUUAUAUUUAAAUUUGAAAAAAAUUUAUAAUAUCAAUGUAAAAAUAUUAUGUAUUCUUAAAAAAUACGGAUAAAACAAGGACGAAAGAAGUACAUAUUAGAUCAGAUGGAUUAGAUCAGACGGAUUAGAGUAAGAUCGGAAGCUAAACGGGGAUGAGAGAGAGAGAGAUGCAUAAGCUAAAACUAGAGAUGCAAUUCUAGGUUACACCAUGGAUGAUGAAAGAUGGACAGCUACUUCCAUUUUCAUGUCUCUGCAGGCUGCAGCUGAGCUAAAAGGAAGAGAGUGUCACCUUCUAGGUUAGGUUCGUAACCAUUGAUCCAUUUACCUCUUUGAAAGAAAGCAGCAAAAAGAUGAAGAGAAUGUACAAAAUCUACCUGAAUUUGCUUUGAUUUGGUGCUGCUUCAAGCAGCCAUGCAUAUUAUACCUAAAUGAGUACGUAAAUCACAUGUAAGGAUCAAAGAGCCAGCAUUAAUAAUGAGUUUAUUUCUUUCUUUCAUUAACAUUUGGAACAAACAUAAACAUCACAAUAGAACAAUUGAUCAUGAUUAACAACAAUGUAGCACACGAUCACAAUAUCGUACAUUUUGAUUCUUGACUAGUACUUGACUAAUUUGAAAUUAAGUGAACUAUAUAAGAGAGAGAUUAUAUUUUUCUUCUUUUAGCAUGUCUUUCAUGGGAUUCCUCCAAGGCCACCACCUGCACCAGCUCCGCCACCAAACCCACCGCCAGCGCCAGCUCCACCGCCAAGUCCACCACCACCACCGAACCCGCCUCCACCUCCUGCUCCACCACCACCACCUAAUCCACCUCCUGCUCCAGCUCCACCUCCGAACCCUCCACCAGCACCGCCUCCAAAUCCACCACCACCACCUAGUCCACCGCCGCCUCCGAACCCUCCACCGCCACCUCCACCUAACCCACCACCAGCACCUGCACCUGCACCUGCACCCCCACCAAAUCCAGCUCCACCACCUAACCCUCCUCCACCUCCUAACCCACCUCCACCACCUCCUCCUAAGCCACCACCAAAUCUCGGACUAUGAAAGAAGUUUUUCUCAUCCUCGAACCCACUCGUGAGCUUCCUAGCAGUACUGGUGGCGCAAACAAGUGCACCAAGAAACAAAGCAAGAAGAAGCUUAGAAGAAGUCAUCUUUGCCAAGUCUUAUGAUACUAUAAAGAUGACUCUGGUGCGAAGUGGGGGAUCCAAGGAGGGCUUAUAUAGGGAAAAAUAUGAAGCCAUGAACCCUGGAGCUAGGAAGUACAGUUGAGGUCUUAAAUUUUGCUCAUCUUCUCAUCUAAAAGCCGGUGUUGGAAGAGUUAAUGCACCCAACUGUCACUUUUGAAAAAGGAAACACUAAACCAUGUCCCACGUCUGAUCAAAACGAGUGGAUCUUCACGUUGCUGUUCUAACAAUGAAAGCCAUUGUUUUUAUGAUUCAGAACCCAAACGGUACCAUUGACCAUUUUCACUCGAGUUCUUGCAAUUUGCAUGAACGUGUCUUGUUGAAACUCUCUGUGUGGGCUUUGGGGUUUACUUCUUCCCACUCCCCGUACCCAUGCAUUUCAUUGACUUUGAAAAACGUAGGCUACCAUUAAUGCCACGGCUUGCUUGUUGGGGAUGUGUUUAAUACCCAAAUACGCAAUCAAUGGAAGUUUAACCCCCCAAAAAUAAAGAAGAAAAAGAGUGAAUAAUAAGUCCAGGGAGUAAGAUAAAAUUAGAUCAUGUAAAUUGAUAAAUGGUAUUUCUGUAUUGAUAUAUAUAUUUUUUUUGUUUAAAUCGUUACGUUUCGUAAUCAUAUUGUAUGUGUAAAUUUCGGUAUAAGUUGAGAAAAGAUUUUAUGUAACGGUAUUUAUGUAUCAAUAUAUAUUUUUUAUAUUCAAAAUAAUCAUCUUAUGUAAUUAUAUUACACGCAUAAAUUUCGAUAUUCAAUGCGUAAUCGAAGAAGUAUCAACAAGUUAGAUAAAAGAUCAUGUAUAUUUUGAAAUGAUUGAAUUAGGGAAAAAUCAAUUUUUAUACACUCUCACUUAUAUAAAAAAAAAUUAUAUAAAAUGAUAUUUUCGUAUCAUUAUAAAUUUUUUUCAUUCAAUCAUUCAAAUCCUUAUACUAUGUAAUCAUAUUACAUAAAGAAGAUUUUAUGAAAUGGUAUUUUUGUAUCAUUGUACGUUCCUUAUCAUGAUAAUUACGCAAUUACAUUACACGUGUAAAUUCCGGUUUAUUUAGUUGGAAAUCUUGAAGAGAGGUUAGGUUAGAGUCGUGAUAUUAAUUAGAAUUGGGGAACUAUUUUGAAGGAAAACUCUUCUUCUUGUUAACCAUUGUUAAGAUAAGAUGGAUUUGAUGAACAAAAGAAUAUUAAUGUGAUUUGUCUACUUGUAUUGCUGGCAUUAAUUGUAUGCUGUACAGGCAACAGUACCCAAACACCAACCAGACAAAAGCAUGCUUAAAUCCCCACAUUUCAAAGGAAAUUGAAUUGGUUAGGCACCUGAGUAGCAAAAUUUGGAUAAAUGCCUUGGUCCAUUCAAGAAUCCAUGGCUUUAAUUUCCUCGGGUCUCACUCAACUAAACUUAAUUUGAUGUAUACACUUUCCGUCCCUUUUAUAUAUAUAUAUUUAGAAAAUGAAAUUUUUCGUAAUUUUUUUAUUUUUUCAUAUUAAAGGAUAUUGAACAUCUAUAUUAUUAAAAAAAUAAAAAUUUAAUAUAAAAUAAGUUAAAAUUAGAGUUUUUGUUUUAAUCUCCAUCAAAAUCAAAGAGAUACGGAAAAAAAAAAUUCUUUUUUAAGCCAAGAUAUUGAACAUCUAUUUUUCAUUUUUUUUCUCAAAAUAAAAUUCUUUUUCCUUAUAUAGACACUUAACACUCGUACCCUUUUUUAUAUUUAUAAAUUUAUUUUUCAUAAUGUUUUGUACUUUUUCAUAUUAUAAAGUAUUAAAAAUCUAUAUUAUUAAAAAAUCAAAAUUUAAUAUAAACUAUGUUAAAAUUAAAGUUUUCGUGUUAAUCUUGGUCAAAAUCAAGGAGACGAAAAAAAUCUUUUUUAGGCCAAUAUUUUGAGCAUUUGUUUUUUGUUUUUUUUAAUGUAUCAAAAUAAAAUUCUUUUUUCUUAUUUAGACACUUAAUACUCUAACCUUUUUAUAUUAUAAAUUUAUUUUUCUUUUGUUUUUUUGAAUUGGGCCAGAUUAUGACAUUGAUGAGAGUAAACCCAAGUCACAAACUGACCCAAAUCCGAGCAAGUGUCCUGUUGUAUGCCACGUGGCACGAAAUUAUCCCCCACUGUCCAUCAACAUUAUCCACGCUACCUCCAAAGAAUCCUACACACCAUAUCCUGCCUGGAAAAGUCUUGGUUUUGAACCGUGAAUGUCGGGAUGGUUUGCCUCCGUUGCCAAUCUCCAUUCCUUCCCUUCCAUUCUCAGCUCAAACCCAAACAGAAACUGAAAGCUGAAGGACAGCUUUGGCUCUUCUGCAAAGCUCCUCCAAGGCUGGUUUUACAGAGACAAACUGUUAAUGCAUUUGUGCCUUUGAGGACCAAUUCCCAUUCCAUUGCUGCCAUUCCUCCAUCCCAAUCUGGUGAUGUCACAGUCUUUCUACAAACAAGGUCUAGUUGCUCUUUAGUUUUCUUGUUGAAUUUGUCAGGAAAUUUUGAUGUACAUGUGGGCUAAUUCGGUUUUCCGGAAAUGCAGUGCAUUGCUUCUGGUUGUUUACUUGUUGGCAAAUUUCGUGGCACCAUAUUUCAUCUCCAGGUAUUUCGAAUUCGACAAGGUAGGGGAAGAUCAGAAGAGGAAUGAGAAAUGAUUAAACCUUGGAAGAUGAGGAUGAAGAAGAUAACAGGAAAUGUAGCUCAGGAAUGCAGGCAGCUUUCACUGUAGACAUGACAACAUAUUGGCAAAAACAGACCUGAAAAACUCUACCUUACGGUAGUAUAUGUUUCCUUGUAUGAACAUGUUAUAGUCAUUUUCUCCUAUUAUUUGCCCAAUGCGCAUUUAUCGCCAGACAGUCCCGAUUUACAGAACAUGAUACAGGGAGCAAUUACUGCACAAACAAAUUCAUUCAUUUUUUGAAUCGAACUUCAAAUUACUUCUGAUGGGAACCAUCAGCUCAUUUCAGAAUAAUUUACAAUUACCUGCAAAACUAUGCUGCUUGGCCCAAGGGGAAAAGAAGGGAACAGAAAAAUAGUAUGAUCAUACCAAUGUCCAAUCACUUUCAUCUAGGGAUGGAGGUUUGUCAACCAGUGAGAGACUCUCAGGCUUAGGAGGCCUCUUCAAAAAUAAAGAUGACUUGCUAUCAAAAAAGCUACCAAAUGGACGAGAAGGGUUUUCAUCUGAGUUCUUCUGGUCUUUUGGAGGAGGUUUUCUCCGCUGUUUAUCCUUGCCACCAAAGUUAAGACCAAGCCUCUUAAACCGACGUUUUAGCUCACCAGCAGGGCUUCCGUUUUCAUUUGCCGGUGUCUCUUCUUGCUUUAUUGUCUUUAUGACAUCAUCAGGAGACAAUAACAUUGUUUCCACUGUUUCAUACACCUAUUUACAGAAUUCACAUUGAACAUCAUCAGAAGUACACAAUCAGACAAUGGAAAGGAAUCACAAGAAAUAGCAAAAUCCUAUAAACAGAUACUUGCAAUCAUGAGAAGAAACCAAUGCAAAUUCUUGCAUUUGAAUAAAACAAAGUCUCUUUCCCCUCACUAGGAAUGCUGGAAACAAAGGCACUCCAUCAUCAUUUCAAUUAGCAUUCAGUGUAACCAUCUAGUGUAUCAUAAGCAUUUGACAUCGGUCCAAUAUGUUUAAAAUACUUGUUAUUUCCAUUGGUAGAUACAUCCAGGCAGCAGUGUGCAAUAGAACCCACCUGGCAAAGAUUGUCUGUUUUAUCAUUCCAGACGCCACUCUGGCAAGUUGCAACAACAUAGUCUUUGCACUCAUAAAACAGCUUUGACAAGUUAUCAUUAGCAGAGAGCUUGUCCUCAGCUAAUACAAGUCCCAAACCAAGCUGAACAUUAGAAAAAUGAGACAUCAGCAUUAUAAGAAUGACUUUGACUAAUAAUGUGUGACAUAAAAAUAAGAACAGAACAGCCAAUUAUCGAUAAUCCUGUCAAAUCAUGUUCUAGAAACAAAGUAGAAAAAAUAGCAGACUCCUCUUUCCAUUUCUUUUUCUUGGAGAGGUGGUGAGAGGAGAUUGUUGGUAUAAGUGCAACAGCUUGAAUACAUUUAACUGAACUCAAAUUGGAAAUAAGAGACAUAAACAAAGAAAUGCUCAUCUGUUAUUAGAGAAAACACUUACUAGAGAAACAAAAAGUUGUUCAAAAAGCUCAGAAGUGGGAAUGUCCUCUAAGAAAUUCAGAAUUCCUUCCCUACAGGAACCAUAAAUCAAGCUAUUCUUGUAAGAAAGCAAUGAUCCUAUGAUAGAAAAUUUAAGACUAGUAACAUCAAAUCUUAUGCAUCCAACUUACACUGCCAAAUCCUCAUCAAAGAGAGGUGUUUGUCUAAUGGCUGGUACUGGCUUGGCUGUCUCCCACAGUUCACGCCACAGAUUACCUAACAAACGUGCAUAAUUCACAUAUCAGAACCAACUAUAACAAAAGUUCCAGCAAGUGACACUACCUGCAGCUUAAGGAUGCCAAACAAAUGCAUCAAGAAGUAAAAACCCUCUGCUCAACUAGAAGAGUAUGUUGUACAUGAGAAAUGCUAUGGUUGUCAGACCUCAUUCUCCUAAUACGAAUUACACAAGGACAUUAUACAAGUUCAUUCAAACAUACUCCCUUGCGUAUUCAAUGAAUCAAUAUUAUCUCUUCAAAAGUAAAACCUUAUCAAUAAGAAACUAAAAUGUAGCAAACUUUACUAAGUAUAGGAAACUGGGUAAAACCUUCUUUUUGCAUUCUACUACUUAGUUGACCUCUUGUAACCAAAGAGUUAACCUCAUCGCUUGGCUCACUUUCAGUCCAAUCAGGAGGAGAGUGCCAUCUAACAAAAUCUUCUAAAAUACAGCCAGGAUUUGCAGCCUAAAACGAUUGUGAAAUAGAUUUAUUUAGAUUCAGCAUUGAAAGAAUAUACUGUUGCAUUCAUAUGUAUCGACAACAAUAGUAAGAUAGAGGAAUUUUCUUUGUUCAAAAAUAUCACCUUGAAAGCCUGCAUGUCUGAGAGGAGUUGAGAACACCCAGCACCAACACUGACCCAAGAAAGAUAAGGCAAUGAGUAAAAGAAUAGCAAGCAUAACAUAAUUAACUCAACAGAGUGUUGCGAUAACAGAGGAAAAACUGACAUUUCACUCAAAAACUUUUAUGUGUCUAACACAAAGACAGAAAAGAUUAAGAAAAUAAUCAGAAAAAUCCAACAUAAAUAACAGUGCUAGAUAGGUUGAUCCUGAAAGAUAACAUCAUUGUUUUGAAGCAAACAAGAUAACCUUAAUAACAUUAAGAUUUAUGAACAAAAUUCAUGAAGUAAACAGCUUAAGAUGAUGACCAUUAAAAGAAGAUACUAAGAGUUCUAUAGUGAGAAAUCCAAAUAAAAUGUUACAAAAGUAAGGAAUGUUUGGUCAAUAUACUAACCUCCCCGUUCGAAGCACCAACUCCUCCGUUUCUCUGAUAAGAUCUUCUGAAAGCAAAGGUCCUUCCUACAGACAUAUACAUAAACACACUAAGCCAUGGGAAUAGCCUCAAAAGGUACGCAAUCUGUUACCAGAAUUUGUGAGCCAAACCUGGGCAAUAGGUGAGUAUAUAGGUUCACCAGUUUCCAACAUUGUUAAAUUAUCAGCCGGUUGAUUAGCUCCCAAUCGAAGAACAAGUUCUCCAGUGCUAAGUCGCGCAUACAAUGCAGAGCUGGAAGAAACUGUGCCUAUAGAACUAUCUGACCCUUCAACAUUUGAACUAGCUUCCCUCAUUUCAGAAUCAAAUGAUUCAGUGGCAAUAGUACGGCGUCUUUUUCUUGAAAGACAACAGUUAAUAACCUGUAAUUGUUGAUAUAAAAGACAUGAAUUUAGAUCUGGAAUUUCAUCCACAGGAAUGCCUGGCAGAUGUCUCUCUUCAGACCAAAAUCUUCUCAGCUGCAUGUAAUUCCAAAUACUUUUCAUCAGAUGAAGAUUAACAUUUAACAACAAGUAUGCUUAAUGCAAACAAACUCUAAACGCAUCAAAAUGUGAAAAUGCAGGAUUUUUAUUCACAUGAAGAGAACCUGUGGCAUGAAAAAAUCCUACUACUAAUUGACACCCAAGUGCCACCAUGUUGCUAUGCUAGAUAAGGGGCUAUUAUGAUCUUAUGCAAUGAUGAUACCUUGAACUUCCUUAUAUAAGUUUUAAUAGAAGAUGGUUUUAGAGAGACAAACAGAUCCAGCGUGUAAAAUCAGUGAAGUUUUCUUUCAUCAUUGACCAUUCAUGUAAGUUCAGAUAACAGUUCUGUAUAGCCCACUUACUUCGAUAACAACCCUGCACCAAAAGAGAGCCAUUUUGCGAAGGGUUCUAAAGCUUCCAAUGACUUCAGAAAGCUUAACGAGAAAGCUCUCUGGAGGAGCACCAUGAAUGUCUUUUGGCAAAGAUAUCAUAGUUGUACAUGUAUUUGAAUCAGAGACAAGCUGCCUUCGGAGGAAGUUUCCUUCUGCAAAUAUCUUGCAGAUAUUACAACGAAAGUGAAAGACCAUCACAGGAAAAUAUGAAGGAUUAAAGAAGAAACAUAUCUACUACAAUAACACAAGUCCUGUCAAUCACAUAUAUGAAUCUACCUGCAUCAAACAGUGAAUGAAUCAAAGCCAGGACUCUCUCAUCAUCACCAAAGCCAGAUGCAAGUUUAUCCUCUUUGUCACGAAGAACUAACGACUUCACUGCAGAGAAACUCAAGCCUGUCCUUUCCCUAAUAGGUGAAGAACUUCCUGAAGAUGCCAAAAGAUCUUUCAACAACUUAAACUUCUUUCCAGCCCUGGAACCAGAAGAAAGCACAGAAAAAUAUGAACACCACAAACAAGCUGAAAAAUAAUAAAUCAAUAGAUCACACAUUUGACCAGUUAGCAUGAGCUCAAGCAAGAACACAUUUUGAAUCAGAAGAUUAAAUAUCACUAUCAUGACGAAAAAAAUCACUUGAUCAUCAUGGCAAAGUGGUGCAAAUGAACCGGAACAUAGUCCCAAUAAAGGGAACCAAUUCACAAAUCAGCAUGUUUCAUGAGGCAUCAAAUGAUUUUAAAUAUCAACAACAGCAGGGAAAGACGAAUGAAGUUAAGAAUUCAAAGCAUGUUAAUGGAAAAAACCUACUCAACAGCUAUAGCCAAUUGCUUGAUGACAGAUGUUGGAGGAAUGUUAUUCGUGUUGACAGUAUUUAAAACAUCUACGGAGGGAAUUGCUUCUAAAGCCUGUAGGAUAACAAUCUCGUUAGCUAAAUCCAUUCAUUUGAAUUUUAUAAUGACAGAAAAAUAAACAUUUUAAUAUCCAUUAUAGCAACCCUCACCCAUGGCUGAGCAAAAUAAAGAGAAAUCACAAAUGUACCUUUGCUUCCGCAUCAUUCUUCAUGUUAAGCAAGUACAUGUUUUCAUCACAGAAUGGAGCAGCCAUUGUUGAAUUUUCAACUUUCUCGGUGUCUUCGACUCCUUUUCUACCUAUUCGUAUAUUCUUAAAUCUUUCCUGCCACUCUUGCUUUGUCCCUAAAUUUGCAGGUCUCCACCUAGAAUGCUUUACCUCAUGAAUACACUGCAUCAUACCACACAAAAUUUAAAACUAAAAUAAAUAAAUAUGUAUUGAGAAAUAAAUUCUUUUAAUUCCUUUAAAUUUUCAGGGAAAAUAAAAUGCAAAUAAAACUCAACUAAAUUAGCAUAAUUAGUACUCAGCAGAAUCUCAAAGCCUUUUCUGGCUUGUUUCAUUGCUAAGAAAGCACGUGAAAACUAAAGAACAUACAAAUUGCAAAGCCUAUGAUUCCAUUCCAAGCAAACUAAGCUAAACUCUACGACCUCAAUACUUAAACAAGUCCAGCACAACGAAAUUUCAACAAAAAAAAAAAUUCUACACUUUACUUCAUUUUCUCGAGAGCCAAACAAAACAGCACAUUGUACCUUAAUUCCAAUUUCCAUUUCACAACAAAAUAGAAACAAAUAACUAAACAAACAAAAACAGCUUAAAUACUACAUUUCAGCUUAAAACAAAACCAAAUUUCAAACGAAAACUUACCUUCGACUCGCCUUCGUUCGUCAGAGAUUCGUUCUUGAAUUCCUUCGCCGGCGAUAAUUUAUCAGAAUCUUCACAAAGUGGAUAAAGAAAAAACAACAAAAAAAAAACAAACAAAUUCAGUUAUCAAUAAUAACAACAAUCCAUUAAAAGCCGGAAUUUAUAUUAAUUUUUUUUCAAAAAUCUAAAUAUAGCAAAGCCAAAAAAAAAAUUUGCGAUAAAUAUUUAACAGCCAAAAAUAUAGAAGAUUUUUUUCCAUUUUUUAACCUAGAUCGGAUUUCAAAUCAGUGAAAACUCGCUCGGCUUUGGCAGCUGCGGAGUGGAAAGCGGUUCUCGCUUUGGAGACGAAGGACGGAGCUUCCAUAUCGUGCGCAAGGGGUACGCACGUUAAGAUUCGGAGCGUAGGGUAACAGAGAGAGAGAGAGAGGACAGAUGUUAAAAUGGGAGAGACCAAAACGGUGGCAUUUUCAUUUUGCAGGGAGAGCGGGGGGAUUUGUUUGGGGUGAAGAAGAGAGAGAUGAGUGGAGAAAACAAAGGAGAAUUUAAAUUUUAUUUUUAUAUUAUAAAAUUGAAUAUUUACUUUAAUUUAAGGUAGUACAACUUUGUUUUGAUAAUUUUGAUGUAAAGUUAAAUGUAUGGUUUGGCUUUGGAUAAAGACUAAAUUUUCAAGUUUGGACUUUUUCAGAUAAUUUCAAUUUUGACUUUAUCAAAAGACUGUAAUAAGAUUUGAAAUUUUGAGUUUCGAAGAAGGUAUUAUUCAGAUUAAGGUUUGAUGACCAAGGUCGGAAAACUUCCACUUACAUUAUUUAUGAUUUUAAUUUUUUUACAUAAUAUUUUAUGUUUUUUUUUUCUUUCAAUUAGUCAUCCGUGGAUAAAUUUUGUUUUCCGAAAUGGGUUCACAAUUAAGAACAUUUUCAUAAUAAAUUUAACUAUAUAAUCCUUUCAAGAACAAAAUUUAUUUACGAGAGAAUUAAUUAAAAAAAAUACAAAGUGAUAUGAUGAAAAAAUUGAAGUUACGGGAAAGUAGUUGAAAUUUAACUUGAAUAAAUGAAGUUAAUUUAUUAACAUUCUAUUCAACCGGGCACUAGCCAUUUUAAAUGUAAAAUUACGUAAUUAUAUUUUUUAUUUAUCACCAAAUUUUAUAAAUUAUAAAAACACAAGAAUUUACUAAUAAAAUUAUCAAUGAUAAUGUAACUCUCUUUUCCGAUGAAAAUGUAAUGCCAAUGUAAUGUUGCAUUACAUUAACUUUUAUAUCACCAAAUAUUAUAAAAUGAUUUUUUUCAUUCACAUUACACUGUUAUUAUCGAAUGUAAUCUUAAUUCUUUUUUGUAGUAAUGAAUACGAUAAAAUUUUUUAAUAUAUCUCACAGAAUUAUAUAUAUAUAUAAUUAAUUAAUUAAAAAAAGCAGAAAUUGAUUGUCGUCAUUUGCAUCAAUCAUUAGCUUCAAAAGCAUAUUAUUAAUUUCUUUAAUCACCGUAACUUAGAAGCAUCACCCACUUGAUUUAAAAGAAAUAAUCCUUACAUCCGUCCCAUAAUCAUAAGAAAUUUUUUUUGGUCAACACGUUUUAGGUGUCACGUAACACCUAACACUCACGAUUUGCACGAGAAAGUGUCAACAAUCUCUCUUUUUUUUACUUCUUCCUUUUUUUUUUUCUUUCAAAUAAUAUUAAAUAAAUGAAAAAUUUCUAUUCAUAAAUGGGUUUAUAUUUAUACAUUGUAAGUAUAUAAAUAUUAUAUACUAUUAUUUAAUUAUAAAAUAUCAUAUCAGAAAUAUAUAAAAAUUAAAAAAUUAAAAAAUAAAUUAUAAAUAUUAUUUAAUAUUUAGAUUAAGGUUUGACUUGAAGUCUUUAAUGGUCCAUUUGGUGGAAAUAGAACCGAAUUUCAAUAGUCUCAAGUUUAAUGAUCUCGAAAUGACCGGCACAAGGAGCAUUGACUGGACUUGGUUAAUAAUAAACUUCUCUUUAAAAUAAUGCAUGUUUAUUUAAAUUUAAUUGUAAAAACAAAUAUUAACAUAUUUAUACAGAUUUUUUAUUUUAAUAUUAAAAAUUAAGUUAUAUCGAAUUUGAAUAGAGAUUUCAAAGAUUAAGUCAAAUUAGAAUCAUGUUUGAAAGACGAAGAAAAAUGAAAAAUUCAAAUUAAAAAUUUAUAUAUUUUGGAAUGAAAUCGAAUUAACAUCUUUAUUAUAUUGUAAUGUUGUAUAUGAUAUAUUUUAUAUUAAAUAUAAUUAACAUGUUAAGUAUAUAUUUUUAAGUACUCUAUUAGUCUCUUAUUUAAUUAUUUAUUUAAAAAAAUUGAAUAUGAUAUAUUUGAUAUUAAAUUUUAAAUUUAUUAAAAUAUAGAUAAUUAAUAUUUUUUAAUUUGAAAAAUAAAAUUAUAAUAUAGAAAAGAAUAUUAACUAUUUUAUAAAAAGUAUUCUGGAAUAUUAAUGAAAGUAAAUAAAGAAAAAGGGUCAUAAUAUCACUCAAAUUUAAAAGACAUAAUAUUUAAAGUUCCUAAAUUAUUCAAAAAAAUUCAAAUAAAUUAUUAUACUUUUAUUGUAUUAAAUCAAACUCUUAUACUUUUAUUUUAAAUUAAAUAAAUUUUUAUUUUUUUUAUUUUGAAUCAAAUAAAUUUUUAUAAUUAAUUAUUAACUUAAUAAAAAUAUUAUUUGUCAUGUUUCAUAACGUUGAUAAUUGAUGAUUAUAUGACAUGUUAACAACUUGAUAUAUUACUAUUGAUGAUAAUGUAACAUGUUAAUUUAGUAUGAUAAUGUGAUCGUGGUAGUUUUUACCUUUUACAUCAACAUUAUAUAAAUAUAAAAUAAUAAAUAAUAUUUUAAUUAAUAAUAAUUAUUUAUUUAUUAAUUAUAAAAAUUUAUUUAAUUUAAAAUAAAAAUAUAAAAGAUUGAUUGAAUAUAUUAAAAAAUAAAAAUUUUAUUUAAAAUUUUUUAAAUAAUUUAAACAUUUAUUUCAAUAUUAUGUCAAUUUAAAAUCCAGACCGCUAAUCACAAAAUCGGAGGCACAAUGGCACGGCUUAAAAAAAGAAAACUAAUAAUAAUAAAAAGAGAUAGAAAAAUAAAGCUGUCUCGCCCGCUCUCACUGUUUCUCUCUAAAAUUUAAGCGCCAAAAAAUGGACGAAGAAAUGGACGAAACCGAAGCCGUUCCUCAGGUCGUCAUGAUUUCCAAGCUUACAUUUCUUCGAUUUGUCUUUUCUCUAAAAUCUGUUUGGUUGCUGAGAAAAUCGGAGGAAAAGAAAGAAAAAAGAAAAACAAAGCGAAAGAAAAAGGAAAAAGUUUAUCUCGCUUGUUCUCUGUCGAUUCGUUUUCGAAAGAAGAAAAAAUAACGAAACGUUGAACUAUGAAAUUUUAACGUUCUCUGUUGGCUUACCUAGUAAACAAGGAAAACCGAGAGAUUUAUUUGUGUAUAUAACUUUUUAAAUUCUUGUUUUGGCUUUCCUCGUUUUGAUUUCUGUAAUUUUCUCUCCAUUUUCUUACCAUCCAAACAGAGACGAAUCAGAUUUUUUUUUCUUAACGAAUUCGUUUCUGAUUUUAAAAAUGAAGAUCAAGUAGAAGAUCGACUACAACAGCUCAAUCUUCAAGUGCUCAUUGAUGGCUUUGCUUCACUAGUAAUUACUAACAAUAUUUAUUUGAUCAGAGAUUGCGUUGGCUUUUAAGUUUGUUUUGAUCCUAAGCAAUUUUGUUUCGUAUCUAGUUUAUAUUUGAUUUAAUUAGCAGUAAAAUCUCUUAGACGUUAUAAUUUCUUGCUAAUUAAUCUGUUUGGAUGGAUCUAAAUGCAGGUUUACAUGGCAUGCAUUCAACACGGGCAUAGGUGAGCUUCAUCUUUGAUUUCUACUUAGAUUGUCAUCUUUAAUUUCAUUGGUUUGAGUUCUAUAUUGAGAAAAUUUAACAAAGAUUUAUCCCUGGAAUCUGUAUUAAUGGAUGAAUUUUCAAACUCUAUCCUGUCCAGAAUUGGAAUUUCUUACUACGAUUCCAGCAUUCGUCAACUUAACGUACUGGAAGUUUGGGAUGAUGGUAGCUCGGACUUUCCAAUGAUUGAGCUUGGUAUGAGUUUCAUGUCUUUCCUAGGAAUCUAGAAUCCAUCCCAUUAUGUUUCUUGAUAAUAUAUAAGCAACUGGAUUUUUGAAAAUGUUUCCUAGGAAUCUAGAAUCCUGUCAUUCAUUGUCUUCAUAAUCUUUUCUCCCGUUUGCUAUGGCUUCAGAUUUUUAAUGUUCCUUUAAUCAGUUCUAACUCAUAAUCUCUCUCUCUCUCUCUCUUUGUUUGUUUUGCUUAACGAUGCUUCAGUGAAAUAUCAAGCCAAGCCCGUGGUCAUAUACACAAGCACUAAAGCUGAAGAAUCCUUUCUGUCAGCUUUGCAAGGAAGUGGUAUACACUCUUUUUGUUUGGUUGACUUGUAAAUUAUCAUCUUAUUUACUCUAUAAAGUGAUGCAGAUGGAAUGACAGAGGCUCCUACAGUGAAGCUUGUUAAAAGUUCGAUAUUUACUUAUGAGCAAGCAUGGCACAGGUAUCAAAAGGACAGUAAAAUAUUAAUUGACACCUUUUGGUUCUUGUCUUCAGGAUUAAUAUAGAUAGAUAUGUAACUGGUAGGAUGACUAAAUUUCUAAAUCGAAGCAUUUAGCAAGGGUUCUUGUUUGUAUAAUUGGCAAUCUCAAGUAUGGUCAAUACGACCACCCAAUCCCAGCCCUUAAUUUACAGAGGCAAUGUAAUCCCAAGGUUCUUUUAAACAGUUUCCUUGUAGAUUCUUGGCAAUUUUAUUAGCAUUCCGUUGCGGCUUUACUGAAAAGCUUCUGCAUCUUCUUUCAUAUGAAGCACGUUUCAGGUGUCAAACUUAGGGGAGUCCAGUAAGUGGUUCAUAACUUCAUCUUAAUAUGUCAUAUAUCCAAUAUUUGGAAGAAGCCACCACUACCAACUACUGGUACAAAUUUACCAUGCUUAACUUCUGCUGCUGAUAUGGAUUGAUUAAAAGAAAUUGUAUUCAAUCAGCACAUUAAUUCUUAUUAUGAACUUGUUCACAUUGUCAUAGGAUUUAGUACCUCUACUUACUCAUUUUGUAGAGUAGACUGAACUCACCUUAGUUUGCUGUCCUGAAAUAUCUUUCUUAAAUUCCAUACCUAGACCCAUGUUCUUCAACCCCAGCUUUAGUCAUCAAAAUUCCCUCUCACCGUUUCUUUUCUGAUUUCUCAUUUGGCUUUUAUAGGUUGAUAUACCUUCGAGUAACGGGAAUGGAUGAUGGGUUAAACAUCAAGGAGAGAAUUUGCUAUGUGAGUCGUGAAAUAUGAAUUUCUUUUUGCAUAUGAUCAAUUUAUACUUCUGUCAUCUUUGAUGAAAAAUUCAUUUGCAAUAAGAUUACAUAAUUUCAGCUUGAAGUCAUGGUUCAGUCAGAUUUUUUAUGUUAUUUGUAAUUUCCUUUAUAACAUGAUUAUGAUACAGUUUCAAGUUUGGUUUGGAUCUUUUUGAAUAAUUAAUAUUUCAAAUUAUUAAAUAAUACAUUAAUAUGUAAAAACUUUUGAUAUAAACAUUUUGAGGAAAAAAACAAAAGAAACGUGCUUUUAACGGUUCUGCAGUUUGACAGUUUAGCUUCUCUGUUUCAGUCUUUGAGAUAGUGAGUUGCGUUUUUAACAGCUUCCUGACAUUAAGAAACAAAAAACGAAAAGGUGUUAUACUGUCUAAAGUAUAAACUCUGCUUUCAUGUUUGAUCCCUUUCUUUUGAGGUUGUCAGGACCCUUCUUUUCUAAUUGCAAAAGACACAUCCUAUCGACCAUAUCGAUAGAAUUCUGCUGUCAUUUACGUAUUCUUUUUCUUUUUCAACUAUUGCAGCUGAGUUCUAUGAUGGACAUGGGUAGUGAUGUCCAAGUUCGCGUAAGUGGGGGCCUGCUUGCCAUAUUAGAGAAUGAAAGGAUUGUAGAUACCCUCGAGCAAAAGGAAUGUGGGAAUGCUUCAAUUACAAUUGAUUCCGUCAUUGAAAUUUCAUUGUAUCAUUUUAUGUGACAAUGCUUAGAGGAUCCGUUCUUUAUCAUUCUUCUUCUUCUUCUUCUGCUUUUCUAAUUUUUCAACUAAAAAAUUUUACCUUUAGCCAAAAGAACAAUAAAUUCACAAAACAAGACUCAAUAUGUAUUAAUUACCUUGACAAUUGAAAAAUAGGGACAAGUUUCUUAAGCUUGAUGCUGCAGCACACGAGGCAUUGCAGAUAUUUCAAGUAGAUAAACAUCCAAGUCAUAUGGGAAUUGGUAGAGCAAAGGAAGGGUAACUGCUGCUAUUAUACUGCAAAUUAGACUUCUUGCUAGGUAUACUUUUCUAUGUUUUAACUUGAACACAUCUCUAAUGAUUUCUUGAUUUGUAGGUUCUCUGUGUUUGGAAUGAUGAACAAGGUUUGUAAAGUAACAUGAUUUUCAUCUUGUACUAUCUUUUCUCACUUUGGACUGAUUCAUUUUCUCGUUAAACUUAAGUGUGUGACGCCAAUGGGGAGACGUCUUUUGAGGUACAUCAAACUUGAAAAAUCUGUUAUCUAGCUGCUUCUAAUUUUACAUCUAACCUAAACACUUGGACAAUGGUUUUCCUUGCUUUAGAAACUGGUUCCUCAGGCCCAUACUUGACCUGGAAAACUUGAACAAUCGUCUCAAUGCUGUAUCCUUCUAUUCUUUAAUCAUAUGGGGAAUGUACUCACUUUACCUGAACCAAAAUUCAGUUUGGUGGCAUGUCAAAUAAAGAAGACAAUAAAGAAUACCACAACCUGCACUGUUGUGAGGUGGAGUCUGGUCAUAGAAUUGGUUUUCAGCUAUGUUCUUAAUCUACUAUUAUCAUCACUUAUAGCCUUUAACAGGAUUAAGAUAUCAUUCUUUCUUUCUUCUGAAGAAUUGAUGGUUUCCCUACGCGAAACUCUGAAGUCUGUGAAGGAUAUCCCUCACAUACUAAAGGUAUGAUCAUUGCAGUUAAUUGUUCACCUUUCUACCCUUCCUGCCUGCAUAAAGUCAGAAUUUCCAGGUUUAUGGUUUAUUUACAGUUACUGCAUGUAGCAACUAACAUAUGAUGCAUUAAGUUCAAUUUGUACCAUCAGAAGUCUUUCUUAUUUUUUUCUUUGCUAAAAGGAUAUAUUUCUUCGAUGCUAAGUUGACCAAUUUAUUACUAUAAUGGGAUUCAUUUCUUUUCUUGUGGAAGAAAUUCAACUCACCAAACUCCAUGUGUACAAGUAGUGACUGGAUGGCUUUUCUGAAGGUAUUGCUUGCUAGAAUUUUCCAAGUUUUCAUUCCAUCCUCUCUCCAGGUCAGUUGAUAUAUGUGAAAUUGAACAUCUGGCAUUGGUAAGAUGAUCUUCUAGAUAUAACAUCAAUGAUUGAGUUUUUGUUUCUUUGAGCUUCACAUAUAACCUAUGCUGUGAGUAUAGAUAAAUAACAAUAUGAAGUAACAUAGAGCAAAUACUUCUCAUUUCAGCAAUCAUUUCAGUUAUGGUUUAAUUUUGUGCUAAAUAAAUUCGUCGCAUAAAAUGCAAUGAGUUUUUGAGAGUGAUGUAACACAGUUUAAUUUUCCUAUAAAUCUUUGUUCUCUUGCAGAGUGUCUGUUCACUCUUGCAUGUUAACAAGAUAUUUGAAGUAGGCAUUUCUGAAAACCUUCGGGAGCAUAUGGAGUACUUGAAUUUGGACAUUGUUGCUAAGGUAUCAAAAUUAGUCUUGGCACAUUUCCUCUUUUCACGAGGUUGGACGUGAAAUAUUUAUCUUUUGUGUUACCUGAUCUUUUCUGCAGGCUAGUUCAUGCAUCACAGCAGAUCUGGCAUUUGUCUAUGAAUUGGUUAGUCCCUAUCACUUCGUAACAUUUCAUUUGACCCAGUGAUGCUCAUUGUUUCCACAGACAUGUUAAAAUUAAAUCCCUUGUGAAAGUUAUGUCAUUCGGAGUUCUGGAAAUCACGUAAGGUUCCAAGAGUAGUACUUCCUAAUUUAGCUGUUCUACAUCCACGUCUAGACUUCCAUUUAACAAAAGUCAUAAUGUAGCCUUCUGAAGAAAUUUACGUAAUCCCUCCUCAUCUGUGUGAUUCCCAUUCAAAACCUGAAACGAGUGGCUAAUUUAAUGAAAGAGUAAAUAACAUUAAAAAAAAAAAACAGAGUGAAUGUUUCAGCCUAGAAGAAUGACAGAUUCCUAUCUUCUAGCACAUGCAAAAUGUGGGAAAUGGCUCUGUGCAAUUUACAAAAAAAUAAAUAAAUUCUGAAUUGAUGGAGAUACAUGUUCUAACUAGAGAUUAAUACAAGAAGGUGCUUAAAAAUUGACAAUAUAAUAAUAAAGUAGGGGACUGAAUAUGCUACUUUCUUUUUCUCCUAGUUUCUAUUAUUUUACUUCAUGCAGCUGUAGUUUUAUAUUUUAUUUUAGUGACCUUUAAAUAAGUGGAGUUAUGGUGAUUAGAAGAAUGUUGUUUUUCCUGCUGUUAACCUUGUCAAUAUCUUCUUUAAAUUGACACAUUCAGUGUAUUUAUAGGUCAUUGGUGUUAUUGAUGUAAAUAGAAGUAAAGAGAAGGGCUAUGGGACAAUAGUGAAAGAGGGUUUCUGCGAUGAGGUGAGACAUUUGUUCUGAUUUUUCUGUGAGGAGGAUAGCAUGUUUCCUGCGGCGUAUUUUUUUCCUUCAUACUGUAAACUUCCCAGUCGUUACUGUUAUGUCGAUUUGUGCACAGUUGGAUGAGCUGAGACAUAUAUACGAGGAAUUGCCAGAAUUCCUAGAAGAGGUGGUUGGAGUACAAACCAACUAUAUGAUAAAUUUAUAGCAUGAAUUGAGGUUUUCUGCAGCUAUGUUUACAUUAAUUAGCAUACUCACAGGUGGCAUCAUUGGAGCUCGCACAACUUCCUCAUUUGCGCAAAGAGGAGUUUGCUCCUCGUAUCGUUUAUAUACAUCAAAUAGGUGGGUCUGUGCCAUUUCAGCAUAUUAUAUGUCAACCUAUUUCCUAUGUUAUUAAACAUAUUUUUCUCCACUGAUAUUAUCUUACAAGUACCUCUUAAUUUUUAAUUAUCAUGUCAUGAUCUUAUGCAUUAGAGCUUAGAGGACACUUUGCCUGAUUAUGCUCUUUCCUUCGUUUCUGUUGUAGGAUACUUAAUGUGUUUUUUUGAAGAGAAAAUUGAUGAAAUCACACAAGAGAAACUUCAGGAUUUUGAAUUUGCAGUAAGUUGAUACAUGCAUCAUGUUUAAAUGAAUAGCAUGCUAAAUUCUUAACUGUUUAAACAUUAAGAUUUCCAAGGCAAAGUAAGUUGAUAUUUGCAUAAGAUAUAAACAAAUGCGAAUGUUAUGGAAAUUCAGUUCUCUGAUUCUGGAGGGAUAACAAAGAGAUUUUUUUAUCGUACACCAAAGACACGAGAGUUGGAUGACCUUCUUGGAGAUAUUUAUCAUAAAAUUCUAGGUAAGUUUCCACCCCACGGUGCUGUUUGAAAGUGAAAUUAGACAAUCCAUGUCAGUUAAAUGGGGAACAUAAGGUUUAGUGAAUUUCUUCGUAAAGUUUCUUAUUUCUUAAAUUCAUUAUUGAAGAUAUGGAGAGGGCAAUUAUCAGAGACUUGGUCUCACAUGUAUCAACGUUCUCAACACAUCUGCUUAAGGCUGUGAACUUUGUGGCUGAACUUGAUUGGUAAGAAUCACCAACAAUGCUCUUAUCCCUAUUUGUCUUUCCUCUGUAAUGUAAAGAUGUAUGAUUGUGAGGUUCUAUGUUACUGACUACAGUGUCUUCAUAUUGAUAUUAGCUUUUUGUCGUUGGCAAUGGUUGCUCGCCAGAACAAUUAUGUGAGGCCUACUUUAACCAUGGAAACCUUUCUUGACAUACAAAAUGGAAGGUAGGAACCAUCUACUUAUGCACAGUUUCACACCAUUUUCAUCUUAAAAGGACCUCUCAAAAAGUUUUGUUUUUCUAUGGGUAGACUUCUUUCUUUUUUUUUUUUUUGUUGGCAAAGAAUUUAAUGACCUCAUACUGGUCACAGGCAUGUUUUGCAGGAAAUGACCGUAGACACAUUUAUCCCCAACGAUACAAAGAUUCUUGAUGAAGGUAAAUUGAACUAAAAGUUCAAUUGUAGCAUGCCAAAUCCCAGGAUAACUUAUCUCAUCUAAAGUAGACCAUUCCAAUAUUUCAUUAUUAAGUUGUUUUUUGUCAAAAUCUUAAGAUUCCGUUAUUUUCAGGAAGGAUUCAUAUCAUUACUGGUCCUAAUUAUUCAGGGAAAAGCAUCUACAUAAAGCAGGUAGAUGAAGCAUCUUUGCAUAAAUUGCGUAUUGGUGUGCUCACAUUUGCUGAGUUUUGAUGGAUUUAUUAAAUAAAUUAUGUUGUUUUUUCUGUUUCCUUUUUUUACAGCGCGUGUUUAUGAGAUCCCUUUUCAUCUGCAAUAUGGUUACGUUAUAAAAUGUUCCAAUUUUUUUUUUUGUAAUCAGCACUAUUAUUUUGUGCUAGAGAUAACAGCAAGCAUGUGCCAGGCACCAUUUAGGCCAUGGAUAACUGUUGAAUUCUUAGUACAGUUUCCCAAGCCUUCAUAUAAAUAAUUUCUCCUGUAAAUUGCACUUGAUCACAAAUUUUUGGUUUUCCUAGGUGGCUUUAAUUGUUUUCCUUUCUCAUAUCGGAAGUUUUGUACCUGCUGAUGCUGCAACAGUAGGAUUGACUGAUAGGUAUGUGGCGUGCUAGUGGCUAACUUUGUUCUUAAAAUUGCACAAUAUCUACGUUGAUAUCCAGUUGGUCACAUCAAACGUGUUUCCAACUAUGACAGGAUAUUCUGUGGAAUGGGAAGCAAGCUUAUGACUGCAGAACAGUCGACAUUUAUGAUUGAUCUACAUCAAGUGGGAAUGAUGCUAAGGUAUACAGGAUGAGAAUGGGUUAUGAUAGCCCCAUAAUCUUGUUAAUCUCUAGGUUAAUGAUGUGGCAUCUUGUGAUCAUUCUUCUUGAAAGUUGAUGUGAAUAAUUAACUUUGUUUGGGUAAUUGAUAAGCAAGUAACUUUCCUCAUUUUAAUCCAUUCUGUUGAUAUGUUUCACAGGCAGGCAACUUCGCGAUCUUUAUGUUUGCUGGACGAAUUUGGUAAAGGCACCCUUACGGAAGGUAGGCGUCUUCUACGGAACUUUACUCCUCAGAUAUGCAAUGUCUGAUGUUUAUUGCAGAUAUGUCCAUUGAAUUAUUGCUACCAUUUUGAAUUCAGAUGGCAUUGGUCUUCUUGGUGGGACCAUAAAUCACUUUGUCACCUCAUAUGUUCCGCCAAAGGUUUGCUGGUCUUCUCUCAUUUUUUUCCCCCAAAAAUUACAAGCUAUUGUGAUAAUCUGACGGGUGCACUUGAGCUAUACUAUUCUAUUCUUACGAUUUAAGAGUAUUACCAUCUACAAGUCACUGGCUCUCAGUGUAACCACUGUCAGUCUAACCCUGGCUACAUGUACCCUCAUUUGGAGCUAGCACUUUGCACGGUAGCUUCUAACUAUUUACAAUCAAGUGUUUGUUUCAGCCUAUCUACUCGGCUCUUGCAUUAAGUCAUACCCUUCAUUCGCAAUCUCAGGGAUUUAAGCAGAACUGAGGAGCACAUAUUGAUUUGUAUUACUAAAAUAGUUACUCGAUUUGCAGGUUCUGGUGUGCACUCACUUGACCGAGUUAUUUAAUGAAAGUUGCUUACCAAAGGUACCCAUUGUUGCAGAGUUUCUGCCCAACUUCAGCUAGUGGAAAAACAACGGGCGUUUGACCUUAUUCUUCUUAACUCUUUUCCCUUUCUUGAUCAAUUUCAGUCUGAGAAAAUCAACUUUUACACCAUGAGCGUGCUGCGGCCUGAUGAUAACGCUACAAAUGUUGAAGACAUCAUAUUUCUCUACCGGUAUGGUUUUGUUGCAUUUUACAUCACGUUACUCGGAUCACAGUAAAUUUAUGAUUGUCGAAUAUAGACCCAAUGGGCUCUCAUAGGAGGAGAGGUGACAAACGAGGCCCCUGUUUCUUACUAGUAUUUUUCUUGUCUUAAUUGUUUCCAAAGAUUGGCCCAUCUGUCAGACUUGGCAGUGGCUAAUGUUGGGAAUUGCAAUUCCUUAGCCAUACCCAUUGAUUUCCAUUGUCCUUUUUAGUCCACGAAAUAAAUGUGCAUCACAUUCUUGCAGGUUAGUUCCCGGACAUGCGGCUCUGAGCUAUGGUGAUUUUUCUUCCUCAAUUAUUUUAUUCUAUGUAACCUAAGGAUUUAUGUUGGAAAUCUUUAUUGAAAGUUCACAUGAAUCAUUUCAUAUUUAUCCUGCAGGGCUGCAUUGUGCACUUCUAGCAGGUAUGUUCAGAAUCUCCUAAUAGUAAAAUUGAAAAUUCUAACAAGGCAAAUGAAUCUGAUAAUGUAGAACUCAUCUAGGGGAAAUGAGUCAAAUGACCAUUGGUCUCCAACUGAUUGCACUGUUCAUGUAGGUGUCCCAAAAGAAGUGAUUAACAGAGCAGCGUUAGUCUUGGAUGCUAUUGAAAAUAACAAAAACGUGGAGCGAUUGUGCGAUGAGAAAAUAUCAGCCAAAGAUCGGCAAUACAAGGUUCCAUAUUCAGGAACCAAAUCUCAAAAAAAAAAAAAAGAAUUUGAUUUAUCUAUUAUUUGUUCAUGAAUAUAUGAACUCACAUUCAUUGAUUCUGUUAAAUUCAGGGUGCAGUUGAUAAGAUGUUGGCAUUUGAUGCACUCGAGGGUGAUCUCAGUGCCUUCUUCCGAGACAUAUGACUACCUCAAACCUAAACCAUGAAAGGUAUCCUUGCACUGUCCCGUACAUUAUUGUCCAAUAUUUGGUGCAUUUUACAUUCUUUCUCAUAGAAUCAAUGGAAUCUGCAUUCCCCCAAAUGAGGAACUGAACAAUGAUUAGUAUUCAAUUGUCUUUAGGUUCUUUUUAGAUUCAUCCACCAUAAAAAUAACAGUGAAGACCUCAACCAUGCUUAAUUGACUGGUUAUAGCAUUCUGUUUUGACAAAAUUUCAAUGGAUGAAACUCGGUGGAAUCAAACUGCCAAAAAAACUGUAGAAGAGGAACUGAAACUAGAAAAUUAACCAGCAAUUAAGAUUUAUUGAUCAUGGAUGAUUUGCUAAAUAAAUGAAACUAUGCAUUACAAUGGUAUACAUAGAUCUUUGUUCUAUUAUUUGUCACGAAUGGAUACUUGAAAUAUCCAUGGUAAAUCUUUGUCACCCGUACUAGCUGCUAUGGCUGAAUCGUUGUUCCUCCCAACUGUCUGAUUCUCUGUCUCUAAGACUACUCCAUUUGAUUUAUUGGCUAUAAGCUUAAGUAGAAACUAGCUGCCUAACAUUCAUGGGGACACUGUACUGCGUUGUACCAUCAAAAAGAGCAUCCACAAAAAUUCUAGCCGUAGCCUCUGUUGGAUGGUACAGAUCCCAGAAAACAUGAUCUUUCCUGUUGGAGCAAUAUGUCGAAAUGGGCACACAAGGGACCUUAGCUUUCAGAUCUCCAAGGCCACAACAGGCAGCUUUAAUCUCAUUGAAGCCUGCAUACACACAAUUGAAAAUCACAUCAAAACUUAGGGAGAUUAGGGUGGGGGGUGGGGGGAAGCACAAAAACGACAGGGUUUUAUACCGUAAGCAGAUGGUUUUUGGAUGACGCUUUGCAUGAUUCCGUAAGUAUCAAAGUAGGAGUAGUUUAUGCCUUGAAGUUCCGAUUUCAACCCGUUCAACAUUGCCUUCAGCCCUUGGUUGUACUUAUCAGACCAGAAAUUUCGUUCUUCGUUGCAUUCUUGGGUCUUGUUUUUAACUCUUUCUGCAGGAAUACAUCCGAUCAACCCGACGCCACUAAUGAAAAAUUUACGUGCACCGAACGCGUAAAGUUUCUGUCAAUACAAUAAAAUUUAAAAUUUAAUUAAUAUUGUUUAUAUCAAAUUGUAAGAUAUUAUCUGUUUUAAUUAAUUAAAAUUUAAAAAUAAUGUGAAUAUUUAAAUAUUUAAUUUUACUCUAAUACACAUUUAUAAUUUUUUUUUUUUAAAUCGUGACACUUGACAUGUAACGAUUUUAAACAAAAUAAAGAAGAAAUAGUCAGUUACCUUGAGUUGUGCUUUUAGGUUGUUAGCCAUCAAGUCUACGAAUUGUUGUGGGGUGUACUUCUUUCUGAGAUCGGAAGAACCAAAGUAAUCGAAGAGGUCAUUGCUACCGAUGACAAUGGCGAAAAGAGAUUCGGCUGAGUGCUUUUCUGCACCUGCGCCUAGCUGUUGCAUUAAAAUUUUAUGCACUGCUAGGUAGUUGUCCACUUGUUUUGGUAAAGGUAUGGCUUGACCCUGCAUGUCACAAAUAUGUUAAAAAUGCAAUUUGAUCAACAAGCGGGGAUAGCUCAGUUGGGAGAGCGUCAGACUGAAGAUCUGAAGGUCACGUGUUCGAUCCACGUUCACCGCAUUAUAUUAUUUUAUUUUGAGUUUCUAUUUAAAGGUCCAGUGGGCUAAUAUCCAAAGAAAUUGGGCCCACCAAAUCCAGAAGCUAAUUAUUUUAUUUUAAAUUUAUAUUAAAGGCCCAGUUGCUAAAAUCCAAGAAAUUGGGCCCACCAAAUCCAGAAGCCAACAUUGGGACAACCAUAAUUUAAUAAAAGUGGGUCAUUCCAUGCGAAGGGGUCCAAUUAUUUCACCAUAGAGGAAAAAACAAGUAAAAUAUAUAAAUUGGAAAAAAAUGCAAAUAUAUUAACAGUAAAGGAAUUUUCAUGUAUUAUUCUCUUUAUUUUUUUCACUUACAAAAACUUGAUCUGUGCUGUUGAAGAUUCCGGCACCGCCGGAGGCGAAGCUGACACCGUUGGUAUACGAAGCAUCCUUCUUGUUCGACAAGGAAAGAUAUGGUGGUGAAGUUGGUAACCCUAGUUUUUCAGCUGGCCAAAAACCAAAUGUUACUAAAAAGUAAGAAACAAGGUAAAACACAAAAAAAGAAAAAAACCCUAGCUAGUAGUACUAGUCAAAGGUAUAGUGAAGCAAUAACUCAAGGUGACAGAACAUAUAGCAAGGGUUUCAUUAGGUUUUUAUUCAAUGUUGUCUUAAAUAAGAGUAGGUUGCCUCUGGGUCAUAAAAAUCUUUGGUGGAAAAUUUAAAGCCAGCAGGCUCCACAAUGUUUUUCCUGUUGCAAAAACAAUAUAUAUAUAUAUUAUAUAUAUUAUAUAUAUAUAUAUAUAUUAUAUAUAGACAUANCAUAUUUCAUAUAUUAUAUAUAUAUAUAUAGUAUAGUCUAAUUAAAUGUAUCUUAAGUUAAUAGUCGAGCGAAUAAACUAAUCCCCGUUGUCUCGUUGUUGUUCAUGUUUCUUUUUUGGUAGGUCUUGAAAUGAAAUUCUUUUUUAUUUUAAAGUUUUUUAUCUUAAUCUCUAUGAAAAUCAAAGAGAAACAAAAGUUUAAAGACGAAGAAGAAAUUAUUUUUAAAAAAAUUAUAAAAUAACUUGUCAACUUAAAAUAAAGCUGCAUGUACAUGUAAGCAUCAAUGGAUAUAUACUUUAUUAAUUUAAUAAAUAUUAUUCAAACUGUAUGUUAGAAUCAACCCACAUGAGCAUCAACACUCUUUUUAACUUUUUCAAGUGAUUCAUCAGCCUUUUUUUGCUUUUGGGACAUCUGUCAAUUACGACUUGUGUACUUAAGAUUUCCUCAAUAAGCACACCCUAGAUAAGAAUUUUGAAAUAAUCUAUACAUUUUUUUAUAUUUAUUAUUUAAAAAAAAAUUCACAUAAUCAUCCAAAGAUUGGGUUUUGUAUUUUCUAUCUUCAUCCCCAAAAGAAAGAAAGAAAGUAGAAGACAUGGAGAGACAAAGAACAUCACUAUCAUAAAUUAGUAAGGAAAAAGGUUACAAAAAUGAAGGUGAAAGUGGUUAGCUUGCAUGGCUAUUGUCAUGUUUAUUUCCAAGCUUUUGCACAUUGAAACUUCUACAAAAGCUCCUUCUCUCUCGUUCAUCAUGUGAAAGAUAUUGACAUCCCCAAGCAUGAUUAAAGGGUAUGAUUCAUUGCUUUGUCAAUGUUAAUUUUUUUUUAGAUUUGAAGAAAAAGAUUCGAACCCUGUUCUUUAAGUAGAGAAUCAUGUGUGAAUCAGCGAAUUAAAUACUAAAGUGUUUUUUUGUUAAUGUUAAUUCAUGAUCAGUUUCUGAUCAAAUUUUCUUGUACUGUUUCGUGAUGAUUUAAGUAAGAAAAAGUGACUUACCAAUCAAAUCUGCUGCGUUCUUGCCAUUGCAGAACCUCCCAGUAGGUUUCUUGGUAGGAAAAUCGAUCCCGUUGUGAGGGAAAUUUGCCUUGGCAACAGAAACAGGAAGAUAGUUGUUGUUGCCAACAUCAACCUGGGAGUCUCCGAAAACAAACACAGCCGGCACCAUUUGAGCUUUCGAGACCUCGAAACUCAAAGCAAACAGAGAGAGCAAGAAGAAGAAGAAGAAGGAGAAGAAGUUCACCAGGAAAGCUCUGGCAUCCAUUUUUAAGCAGCAGUAGGGUUAGAAGAGAAGAAGAAGAAGAAGGAAGGAGACUCUCUCUGUCUAGUUAAGAGCUUUGGGUUAAGGCUUUCAUGUGGGUUUUUAUAGAGACAGUUGGUGGUGUGAAAAAGGGAACAAUGGCAAAAGAUUCAAUGGCGUGGCUUAUGGGAGUACAGAGGAAACCCCACACUUAUCCCACUCUAUGAAUCAAAGCACUAGUCAUGUGAAGUCACACCUGACUUAAUCCUUUUCUUCCUAUUAGAGAAGACCCUGUUUGAGUUUCAAUAUAUUCAUUGUUUAAUAUGUGUUGGUGUAUGCUUAAACUUAUCUCAUGCAAACUCAUCUAUCAUUAACCUAAUCCUGAUGCUGUCUCUGCCAAAAUAAAUAUGAAUUUUGUUUUGGGUAGUAAUUGUUUGGGUUUUUUGAACAUAUAACACCAAAAUUAUCAUCUCAUUACUUUUUUUGUUGUUUCCUUAUUUUAUCGUAUAUCGUUGACUAAAUGAGUUUUGAUCGAAACUAUAAAUUUGAAGAUUUUUUUUUUAUUGAAUAAAAUGUUUAUCGACACUUUUUUUAAAGUAUGAUUAGUUUCUGUUUAAUUUUUAUAUGAUUGAAUCAUUAAAUGAAUUUUAAAAUUUAUUUCAUCAAAAUGCAUAUGAUUAGGUUUAACCUGACGUAUGAGUUAUAUUAACUAUAACACGAUGUAUCAAUUCUUUUUUAUAUAUAUAAAGAAACGAGUUCCGAAACCAAAAAUUGUAAGAAAUUUGACAAAAAAGAACUCUGAAAUUAAGACUAGAUACCCAUGGUUUCGUGAGGGAAUCAAAUGGAAGUUGUGUGAAUUUAUCAUUGUAGACUCAAGAAUUAACAGUAUCAUCCUUUGAUAAAAAACUUGGUCAGCUCAGUUGAAUGUAGAUGGAGACGUUGAUCCCAUCCUAGAGAGACAAUAACCAAGUGGGAAGACAGAGAGAAUAUGGGUCCCAUUUUCCAUGGUUGUGGAAUUUGGAGAAAGUCUUGCUGCAGAUAUCUUUUCCAGCUUUUCUUUCUGUUGAAGGCCGGCAUUGGUAUCUUUCUAUUCGGUUGAAGGGCACCGACCCAUACCCAACCCACUCCCUAAGUUUUAUUUUUUAUGUAUUUUUUUUUCAAUAUUUUUGGGGUUUUUUCUGUUAGUUUACAACUGAAUUAAUUCUUCUUCAACCUAUUGUGCAUCAUCUUUUUAUUAUUGAAUUUGUUUGUUAGUAUGGCACCGUUUAUGGUUGGUAGAUAUGGGCACUUUAAUUUGUUUUGCCUAAAGUUUGGUUUUCAAGUUGUUUGAUAAGGAACAUAUAUGCAUAUGUCAUGUAUUAAAUAAUCGGUUUCGGUUUAGGAUAUUUCAAAAAUAACCGAUAUUUUACUCGUUGACAUUUUCGUCAAAAAGAAUGUUAAAGUUCAAAGUUCGAAUUCAUUUUCUUUUUUAAGAUUGAUUCCUUUUAAAUACACCAAAAAACAAUAAAUUGUAAAGAUUUCGCUUUGUAAACACCUUACAUAACAAAUGUUUCAUUGCAUACAUACAUGUCAUAUAUGUAUAAAUUUAAUUGAAUCAAAAGGAAGGCUAAAGUCUAAGGUUCGAAUUUCCUCUUUUUUCUUCCAUCAGCUCAUCUCGAAUGUAUUAAAAAUAUAAUUACGAUUUCAUUUUGUAAACGCUAUUUUCUUAUAAUUAAUUUGAAUGAUACACAUGCUAAUUUCAUAUUUUUCUUUUUUUGGUGAUUUUUUAGCUAGCUAUUAUAUUAAAUUUUAGCUAGAAUAAGGCAGGCAAAGCAUAGGAAUUAGCUGGAAAACUGCUUUUGUACUCACACUGUUGACCUUAAAACUUGGAUAAGCCAUCCAACAAAACAUGUUUUAUUUUAUAUUGACUUAUUACUUUCCAAGUCCUUCAAGCAAUGAUCAAGAAGGGUUUGUUAAUAUAUAUAAAAAAAAACAAUUUAUUCCUUAAAUUAACUAUUGACUUGUAGGGAAGACAAAGUUUCGCUUUCACUUAAUAAUUUCACAAUAUUCUAUGAUUGUAUAUGAAAUUUAUUAACUGCGUAAUUUUAAUUCGAAAAAUGUUAAUAUAAGAGCAAUACGAGAAUUUGAAACUCUCUGAUUGAUUGUAUGUAAAAUUCAUUAACUGUAUAAUUCUAAUUUCAAAAAUGUUAAGAUAAGAAUAAUACGAGAAUUUGAAAUUCUGUGAUCGUAUCUGAAAUUCAUUAACCGUGUAAUUCUAGAUCCGAAAAAUGUUGAAAAAAACAAGAGUAGUGUAAGAAUUUGGGAGUGGGAAAGGGUUUCCCUAACAGCAAGUAGCCAGCUGCUAAAUGGGGAAGAACAUGGUGAUGACGCAUAACAAGUUUGACCAACAGCCGAUUGUCCUUUAUGGUGGCUAAUUGUGAUGACUCACAAAUUGUAGAGCUGGCGAAACCCACUGCCCCAUGUUUGACCCACACGGUGGUUAGCCGCUGGGGACCUUCGGGUGCAACCUAGCCGACAGUUGGUGGGACCAUGGCUAUCUAUUUUGAUAACGUGGUGCGUCACCAAAAUGAGUGGUUCCAGACUGCUAACCAAAUCUGAAUUAAGGAAUGAAGGCCAAAUGGGUCAUCCUCCUCCCUUUUUUCAUGCUUGUUUUCGAGCUCAAAAGCAUGGAAAAUUCAAACAAAAAUUUGGGUGUCAUACAACUAAGAAAAGAUAUUCAAAUUCUCAAUCAUUACAUAUCAAAAAAAAAUUUGAUCGUUUUUUUUAAAUAAAUGAUAAAUUUUCGACGCGUAAUCGAAUUUUUAAGUGUUUUCAUUUUAAAUUUUGAUAGAGAAAACGAAUAAUUUGCAUGUCAAAUUAUUACAUACAAACUCUAAGCCGACAUAAAAAUUCUUCUAAUUUUAAGAAUAUACAAUAAAUAACAUGUGCUUGAUAUAUGGUUUUAUAAUUUUAUAAUAUACAAAUUUCGUUAAAACUUACAUAAUUUAUAAAAAAAAAACCCAAAUAUAAUGCAUACAUGUUUGCAUACAUAUCAUCUCGAAUCAAUAUUUUAUAAGAUUUUAUCAUUAAAUUAAUAAAAUCUUUAGGCAAUAAAAUCAAGAAAUUAGUGUGAAAGGAGGCAAGAACAAUGGUGAUGCUGCUACAACCAUGAGAGAUUGAGAGUUAGGACUCAAGUUCCUAUCCUAACGUGUGAAAGGAUCAGAUCUGAUUUGCUCACUUAUCACAAUUUUUCAAUUUUUUUUUUGUCUUAUCUCUUUGAAGCUAAUAUCUGCUUUGUCUUGUUUUAAGCCUGUCUUUGUGGAGUUCAUAUUUCAUAUGUGCAUGUCAAUUUAAUAAAAUGGUGCCCAUUUUGUUACAACCAUGGAAAAAAAAAAAGUCAAAUUCUUGGUAUUUCUAAAACUAUGAUAGAUUGAUUUCAACCUCCAAUAGUUGAUUGAUAGAGACAUUACUUUUUUUCUCAAAAAAAUUAAAUUAUUAUAAUGAACAACGUUCACAUUUAUAAAUUCAGAACUUCUCAUUUACCUAUUUGAUAUGAGAUUUUAUAUUAUUCUCUCAUACUCGAAUUCACAAAGUCUUUGUUGCGACUCAAGUAUAAGUUAGCUUUGAUACUAUUUUGUCAUGGAACUAUUACCUUAUUCCUAAAUGGCUAUCUUAUUGAAAUAUCAAAAAGUUGGGUAUGGGUGGUUUUUUCUUUUUUAAUUGUGCAUGACAAUUCAACAAUAUGGGCACUAUUUUAUUACAACCAUGGAAAGCAAAAAGGUCAAAUUCUUAAUAUUUUUAAAAUUAUAUCGUUUCUAAACAUUUGACAGUUAAAAAUUGAGAUUUUAAUUUUAAAAUUUCGAAUUUGAAUCUUGAAAUAAAGAAAUGAGAAUUAUGGAAUGAACUUUCCAAUUCAAAAUCUUUUACAUAUUCGAAAGAAAAGAAUUUCAUAUGCUACCAUUCAAUAUUGCAAUGUUAAGAUAGCCAAAUAAUAAUCCAUAAAAAUGAGGUAUAGCCCUUAAUGAAACCUAAGCCUUAAUCUCACCUGAAAGUUGCUCCAAGUUGAGUUUAGUCCUUGUCUCGAGAUAUUAUCAUUUUCUCGAAAAGUUAAAUUAUUGACAUGUGCAACAUCCAUACUGUUAGAGGUGGGAGCUUGAUUUGUAGUAUGGUGCAGAGCUUGCUUAAAUCGAUUGGUAAAGUGAUAAUCAUGUGAUUGUCACAUGCUCUCUUUACUUAUAUGAUCCAACGUGCCAUGCACGUGUUCUUAUUUCAUUUUAUUUUCUUGUUGUUUUUAUUUUUCCUCUGGUUGUUAGCCUCAGUAGAUGUAAUGGUCAUGUGGCCUAUUUCCUUGUUUUUAGGUAAUGCAUCAAACUAGUUGUAUGGGGUCCACUUUAAAACCAUUUUGUUGUUGCUUUUAAAUACUGGCAGUUUAUUAUAUCGUGGGAUAUGAAUGAGAUAUUUCCAAAUUUACUCUAUGGUCUCCUUCUAAAUAAUGGCGACUCUCAAAAUAAAGGGAUCUCCUCCAACAGCAAUGAUCUCCCACAAGUCAUAGGCUCUCAAAUAAGCCUCCAUCUUAAUCGUCCAUAUCUGGUAAUUUUUCCUAAAAAAAUCAACGGAGCAGUAAUGGUUAUAUUCGAAGAAGCCAUUUGAAACAGAGAGUUUAAAAGCUUAGCAAACAGGAAAUCAAUACUGAAGAAAAAACUUUCUCACAGUCCCACAAGAUCCAGAAAACACUUUGAUAUUAUGUUAAAUGUAGAGCUUGUAGCCAGCGAGAUCAUGUGAAAAAAUUUUGCAAUAAUCUAGGAACUAAGGCUAAUGAGAAAGCUGCAGUUGCUAAGCAGAAAGAUUAGGUGGAGGAUGAAGUUCUUUUUAUGGUUAAGAAAGCAGACUCUAAUGAAAAGAAAAACAUUUGGUUGUUUGAUAGUGGCUGCUCAAACCAUUUAACAUGCUGCAAGUAGAUUUUUCAGACUCUUGAUGACAACUUUAGGACAAAGAUGAAAAUUGGUAAUAAAGAUUUUUAUUUGAUCUUUGGAGUUGGUACAGUAGGGGUACAAAAACUUGAUAGUUUGAAGUCAAUAUCAAAUGCUUUUUAUGCACUAGAUGUUACUCAAAAUCUACUCAGUGUAGGGCAGCUGUUGGAUGAUAAUUAUGAAUUGGUGUUCAAGGACAAGGCAUGUACAAUUAAAGAUCCUAUUAGAGUUGAGCUACUGGCUGUGGGAAUGAAGAACAAAUGUUUUCCUUUGGAUUGGAUGAAGGUUAAUCAUAUUGCUUACAGUUGUACUAUGACUGAAAAUGACUUUUGGCAUAAAAGGUUUGGUCAUGUGAACUAUGGUUCACUGAAACUGAUGAGCAUAGAUAAGAUAAUGGUUGGUUUACCUGUGAUAUCUAAAUUUGAUAGGGUUUGUAAUAUUUAUUAGUUUGGUAAGCAAAAACGAGUACCAUUUCCCAAAGUCAGAAGAUCGAAUGCUACUAAGAAAUUACAGCUAUUGCAUACUGAUCUAGGAGGUCCUAUGAAGACUUCAUCACUAAAUGGAAGCAGGAAUUAUUUGCUUUUUAUUGAUGACUAUACUAGAUUCAACUGGGUAUAUUUUCUCAAAGUGAAAUUUAAUGCUUUGAAUGCUUUUAUAAAGUAUAAAGCACUAGCAAAAAAUCAAACAAAUUUGACCAUUAAAAUGUUGAGGAGUGACAAUGGGACUGAGUACACAGCUAAAGAAUUUGAAAGUCACUUGAGCAAGUUUGGUAUUACACAUCAAUUAACAAUGUCUUACAGCUCUCAGCAGAAUGGUGUUUCCGAGAGAAAAAACAGGACAUUGAUGGAGAUGGCAAGGUGUUUACUCUUUGAAACGAAUUUGCCAAAAACAUUGUGGGUCGAAGCUAUGAACACAGCCAACUAUCUACUCAAUUUAUCUCUAACAAAAACCCUGGUGAGUAAAACUCUUUAUGAAGCAUGGUAUGACUUAAAGCCUUUUGUUGAUCAUUUAAAAAUAUUUGGUUGCAUAUGUUAUGCUAAAAUACCAGAUGCUAAGAGAACAAAACUAGAUGAAAAGUCUGUUAUUACAAUUCACCUUGGAUAUAGUGAAGUUUCUAAAGGAUAUAGACUAUUAAAUGUCAUGACUAUGAAGUUCUUUGUCAGUAGAGAUGUUGUUUUUAAUGAAAGCAUGAAGUGGAAUUGGGACACUAAAGCUAUGGUAAGUUCAUACAGUUUACAUAUUCUGAUAGAUUACGUAUCAAAAAUGAAGAUGAACCAGAGUCAGAUGCAAAUGUUGAUAAACCUCCUGUAAGAGGAACUAGACCUCUGGAAGAUAUUUAUUCAAGGUGUUAUGUUGCUGUCUUAAAACCAAGUUCAUAUGUAGAAGUUGUUGCAAAUGAGCAUUGGAGACAAGCUAUGGAGACUGAAAUGUUGAUGAUUAAAAAAAAUAAUACCUGGUGUUUGGUUGACAGACUUGAAAAGUAGAAGGUAACAGGAGUUAAGUGGGUUUACAGAACAAAACUUAACUCAGAUAGAACCAUCAACAAAUACAAGGCCAGACUUGUUGUGAAGGGGUUUUCUCAACUGUAUGGAGUGGGUUUCUUUGAAACUUUUGCACCAGUAGCCAGACAUGAUACAAUCAGGCUAUUGGUGGCUUUUGUUGCUUGUGAAGGAUGGGAGAUAUGGCACUUGGAUAUCAAAUCAGCUUUCCUUAAUGGGAUUAUCAAAGAAAAUAUUUAUGUGGAGCAAUAAGAGGGUUUUGUUCAACCUGGGAAAAAAGAUAAAGUAUGCAAGUUGCUAAAGGCACUAUAUGGCCUUAAGCAAGAACCACGAGCCUGGUAUGAAAGGAUGGAUAGCUAUAUGCUUAGUCAAGGUUUUGUGAGAAGUGAGAACGAACAUACUUUGUAUGUCAAAGCCUCAGGUAACCUGAUCUAUUUGAUAGUUUCUCUAUAUGUUGAUGAUCUGCUCAUCAUAGGACCAAGUGGUGUAUUUUGAAUGACUUAAAAGCAAAGAUGCAAAAUGAGUUUGAUAUGAAUGACUUGGGGAAAAUGUCAUGUUUUCUGGGUUUACAAAUUGAACAAAGGUUUGAUUGUAUACUGUUGCACCAAAAAAAAUAUGCUUUAGAAUUAUUGAAGAAAUUCAAGAAGGAAAAUUGUAAGGCAGUGGCAACACCAUUAAUCACUAAGAACAGAUUUAGUUUGAAGGAUGAAAGUACAGAAGCUAAUGAAACUUAUUACAGAAAACUUAUUGGAAGUUUGUUUUAUCUUUCUACAUCUACACCAAACAUUUUGCAUGUUAUUAGUCUCUUGUCUAGAUUUAUGCAGAAACCUCUUGAAGUUGAUCUCAUGCAACUAAAAGGAUCCUCAGAUAUGUUAAAGGAACCUUAAGCUAUGGCCUUAAGUUUAGUAAGAAUGUGAAGUUGGAACUGCAAGGCUACUCAGACAGUGACUAGGCAAGGAGCUGGGAAGAUUCUAAAAGUACAAGUGGCUAUUGCUUCUCUUUUGGAACUGCUGUCUUCGAGUGGAACUCUAAGAAACAAGAAAUUGUGGCACAAUCUUAAGCAGAGGCAGAAUAUGUGGCUGUCUCUGUUGCAACAAAUCAAGCAAUCUGGCUCAGAAAGAUCUUAUUAGACCUGAAGGUGAUUCAAGAACAACCAACUGUCCUUUGGAUGGAUAACAAGUCUACUAUAGCCAUUGCUUCAAAUCCUGUAAACCAUGGAAGAACAAAGCAUAUAAGGGUUAAAUACCAUGCCAUAAGAGAAGCUGUCAAGAACCAUGAGAUUCAGGUGAAGUAUUGUUGCUUCAAUGACCAAUUGGCUGAUAUUUUAACUAAGGCUCUUAGCAGAGACAAAUUUGAGUAUUUGAGGAUGAAGCUUGGAGUCUACAAAGUCAUCUUCCAAGAGGAGUGUUAGAGGUGGAAGCUUGAUUUGCAGUAUGGUGCAGAGCUUGCUUAAACCGAUUAGUAAAGUGACAAUUAUGUGAUUGUCACAUGCUCUCUUUACUUAUAUAAUCCAACAUGCUAUGCACGUGUUCUUAUUUCACUUUAUUUUCUUGUUGUUUGUUAUUUUUCCUUUAGCUGUUAGCCUCAAUAGAUGUAAUGGUCACAUGACUUAUUUCCUUGUUUUUAGGUAAUGCAUCAAACUUGUUGUAUGGGGUCCACUUUAAAACUAUUUUGUUUUGGCUUCUAAAUUUUGGCAGUUUAUUGUAUUGUGGGAUAUGAAUGAGAUAUUUCCAGUUUAACUCUAUGGUCUCCAUCUUCAUUUCUUUGGCUUUACUCACCAUUGUUGUUUUUAAGAUUUAUUGUUCUUAAAGUUAACACAUCCUUAUAAGUUCAAAAUCCCUCUCUUAUUUAUCAAUAUAAGAUUUUAUAAUAUUCUUUUACACUCGAAUUCAUAACGUUUCAUUACGAGUUAGGUGUGGAUCGACUUUGAUAUCAUUUUGUCAUGAAAUCAUUAUCCUCUUCUUGAACGAUAAUCUUAUUGAGAUAUUAAAGUUCGACACCCUUUUUUACCUAUAUGAUAUAAGAUUAUGUAAUAACAAAGCAUGCAAACACCUAAACUUUAUGAAAAAUACGUAGCAGCGGAAGGAAUUCUCUGCAGUCUGCUAUAUCAAGUCUUUGUCUCUAAAUCUAGAAGGAAGGAAGACCAAAGAAAGAGUCACAAACAAAUAUCAGCUAAUCUAGAAAAACAGAAAAGAUCAAACAUCUUGACAAUGUAACAAAGGUCAACUGUUUAACUUUCAGAUAAGAGUUGAAGUUUCAAACUAAUCAAUUACUAUAAAAAGGUGAUGGAUGCCACAUUUACAUACCAGAAGAUUAAAGCUUAUAAGCUAAAAAUGGCUUGUUCGAACCGAUUGACCUAUUGUUUUUUACUGUUCCUCUCCCUGGUAAGCUGUCUAGGAACUCUUAUCAUGUUCAAAAUCUUAGGUAUUAGUUAAAUUUUGAAGUUUGAUGUUCAUUAUCAGAACGUUAAGAUUUCUUUUUUUUUUUUUUUACAGAUUGGAUCAAGCAUUGCUGCUUCUCCUAGUGAUGAUUUGUUAGCAUGGGUGCAACAAGAUAAUCGCCGGUUCCUUAAUGCCAUUAUCCGAGUUACCAAUCUUAAUCGUACGAUUAAGUACGUAUAAAUUCUUGUUUUUUAACGUUAUUUUCAGAGUUAACAAUCUUAAUCGUACCAUUAAAUACAUAUAAAUUCUUGCUGCUUAAUGCUAUUAUCGGACUUAGCGAUCUUAAUCGUACCUAUAAGUCUCUUGCAUGAAAUUCAUGUCUCACGUUCAUGUGAUUUAACUAGUAUGGUUUCUCAAAUGUCAGGUUUUACACUGAGAACUUUGGGAUGAAAGUACUGAGGCAAAGUGACAUCCCACAUGAAACUUACUCGUAUGCUGUCCUUGGGUUUGGCCCCGAAGACUCUCAUUUUGUCCUGCAGCUGAGACAAAGUAUGUUUUCCAACAUCUUUGGACUUUGGGUCACUUUGUCUAUAUGUUUUUCUCUUUCGUACUGAUAUUCAUUGCAGCAAUUGACAUUGACAACACCUUAUGCUUUGUUUGUCAAGACUAUGGAGGGGAGAAGUUGAAGCUAGGGACAGCCUUUGCACACUUUGGGAUUGCAACUCAAGAUGUGAGUAAAACAAAAACAGAGGUGGAGAGAUCCGAGCUUGCAAAAUGUCAAUCAAUUUAGAUUUUUAAGCUGUCGGAUCUUUGUUAUCCUCAGGCUUACAAAAUGGUUGAAGAGAUCCGAGCCAGAGGUGGAGUCAUCACUCGUGAAGCAGGCCCGAUCGAAGGGGGAACAACCGUUUUCGCCUUCAUUCAGGAUCCUGAUGGCUACAUGUUUGAGCUCAUCCAGAGACCUCCAACUCCUGAACCACUUUGCCAACUAAUGCUUCAUGUGUCUGAUCUAGAUCGUGCUAUCCAAUUCUAUGAAAAGGUAGAUCACCUUGCGUGUGUCUUAAACAUAUAAAUAUAGCAAGGAUCUCCUCACCUGUUACUUGUUACUUUUAAAUUGGAUAUCCGUCAUAUUUGAUGUCAUUUGAUGAUGCAGGCCUUAGGCAUGAAGUUGCUGCAAAAGUAUGACAGCCCUGAGGAGCAGGUAAGCCAUUUGAUGUUGUAGUAAAUUUCCCUGUUGUUCCUACUGAAAGCCAAUAGGACUUGGCCUGAAUAAAGGUUCAAGUGCAUGAACUUAUUUUACAUGAAAAUCUAUCAAAUGUUCUCUGCUGCAUUCCUCUGUACAGUUUGCUAUUGCCAUGGUGGGCUAUGGAUCAAACUUAACACAGAUAACCACAGUGGAGUUGAGAUAUAACUACAAUGUCACUGAGUACACCGAAGGAAAUGGAUAUGUGCAGGUCAGGUUUAGCUAUGUCACACAGUUUUCAUCAAAGCCUGGAUCAUUUUAACAAAGAAACCUGUCUCCUAACAUAACCCCUAUUGCCAGGUUGCUAUAAACACAGAUGAUGUAUACAAAAGCGCUGCUGCUGUUGAGCUGGUUAGUCAAGAACUCGGAGGGAAUAUAACACAAGGACCAGAUCCGAUCAGCAAAACCACUUCGUUCCUUGAUCCGGAUGGUUUCAAAACGGUUUGGCCCCCUCUCUAGACACAGGAUCUCUUGCUUUAGCUUUAUAGCAACCUUAUUAUGGUUAUCUGAUGACUUGAUUCUUCAGGUUUUGGUGGGCAACCGAAGGAAGAAAGAGUAAGGGUACUGCCCAGGAAUUUCUAAGAGUCAGAAUAAGAAGGCAUGCUAUGGAGCCAGUGCCUAAUGUAUUCAUUUGUAUUAUCCUAUUGCUUCUGUUUCAUGUGUUACUAUAUUAAUUAAAAGGACUGCUUAAAGAGGUGUAAAGACAUUUUUCAGAGACGACGGAUUUUUUUCUGUUGACCCGUAACAUGUUUAAAACCCUUUCAAACAUCAAAAAUGACCAAAACUAUUUUCCGAAAGCAUUUGCAUGCUUACCAAAUGAAGCCUUAACUACAAUAUCAUUUUUGUUUAAAGAAUCGGAUUUGGGGGUAGAGUAGAAAGUUGCUGACGAGAACCUUGGACAUUGAAGAACAAUGAACAGAAUAUUACAAAAUGUUACAAGUACAUGUAACCCGAUCCUAACAAUUUCCAGGCCCUCUACUUCCUACAACGUGUGGCCAAAAACUUUAAAUAUGAACACAGGAUCGCAAGUACAUACUCGUGAGCAGAAUCUCACUUGUCUUGUGCUCCUGCAAAGCACAAAUAUGAUCUAAACUCUUUGAAUAAGGUGUUGGCUAAACGCUCAUCAGGCACCUUCUGCCUGUGGAUAGGAUGAGAACUAACUAUGACUCUUCAAAGCAGAACUUCAAUCUGCGCCUGACAAUUUCACUUCCAGUAGCUCCUUCAAUAACAACUUGAAGUGAUGCUCAUUGCAUCCCUUACGAGCUAUAAUCUGCAUUUCAGAACAGAGCACCAGAACUUGGAAAGGAUGCAAAUGUUUCAGAAUCUGUGGGUCUCGAUCAUAAUCCUAAUAGAAUAGUGUUGGAAGUCACAGAAAUUAAACCAGGUGCUUAUACUCAUGAGCAAAGAAUUCAUAUUAAGCAAAAACUUCUGCAUGCAUCAAAACCAGCUUCCUCUGUUACUCACCUUUUCUGUAACUAUAACGAUUGGCUUAUAACCAAACUUGUCUUCGAGUUGUCCAAGUCGCUCUCUCAUCAUAUGAAUAUCCUAGGUUCAUCAACAUCAGGACAUCACAAACUUGAUUGCUUGGAAAAUAAAUCUAAGAUAUAAAGAAUGAAAAAGGCAGACAAAAAAUAAAAUUCUUACACACUAUAAUCUAUAUAGCUAUGCUUCAAUCAUCAGUUAGCAGUCUGAUAAGGUUUGUGUCAUUUAUCCUUCGUACUUGCAUAAUGAACAGAUUAAAGAUGUAAUUGAGCAUCCUUUCCCUCUAAACAGAGUGUAAGUGAAGGAGAAAGAGCAGUGUACCUUAGUUUGAAAUGAGUGAUGGUCACUGAAGUCGAAUCGAUCAACAUAUAUUGGUCCCAUCUGCAGCAAGUUAUUCACCACAUAACAACAAACGUAGAGACAGAAAUGGGGAGAAAUAAGAAAUGAAGAGGACCUCCAUUCUACAUCACAUGUUAAUUGCACCAGAAAAUAAAAUGUAUGAAGCUUCUAAAUAAAUAACAUCAAACGUCAAAAAGUAUACCUUUUCCAUCCCCUGCACAAAAGCAUCUGAAGAACCAAUUGCAGAAACACAUAAUACAACUGCAUUAUGCACGGCUCCCAAAUGCAUCUUUGUGUUUAUAUUUCUCACUUCAAAGAAACAUGAUGGAGCCAUUCUGGUGUAGAAAACAGGAAGUGACUUGAUUUCCUGAAUCACUAACUCGAUAUCUUUGAGCUUUUGCUCUAAUACCUGCAUGAGUUUGAAGCAUAAGCUUUUAGGUCAAUUCCUUAACAUAGCCCACCUAUCAAUACAAGCAAAAAUAUGCUAAUUUACAACAAAACCACAUGCAAGAAUAUGUGAACUGGUGUUGCACAUUUGCACAACUUUUGUUAAUGAAUUAGAAAUUAUCUUCUUGAAAAGGAAAAUUUUAAAGCUCAAUUCCUCAUACCAGGUCAGCAUGAUGAACUACAGCAACAUCUGCACGUUUGAGUGCCGUCAAAGGUUCUCUCAAGGGUCCAAGCGGAAGUAGUUUGCAGUUUCCCCAUAGCAUUAAUCCAUUAAUCAUUACAAUCUCUAGGUCACGACACAAGCUCCAAUGCUGCCCUCCAUAUACACGAGAUCAUAACUUAUCAGCAUAAAACCUACAUAACCAAAAUGUUUUUUGCUUCAAGACUUCCCUGACAAAGGAAAAUGCAGAGGCUACUGUACAAUCAAAUCAAUUCCUGAAACAGACACUGCUAUUGUAUUUGUUCUUAACUGUUGGCUUCAAAAUGUACAUAUCAACUUAGCAAGAAAUGGGGAAAGAAAUACUACCAAGAGGAGUUAUUUAGCCAUAUAAUUUCCUAUUAAUGAACAAAAUUAGGCUAGAAGACACACUCAAUACAUAAUAAGACAUACAAUGAACAUGAAAGAAAUGGCCAUACCUGCAUCCCAUCAUCCAGAAUAGCAGCACCAAUUUUCUCUAAACUGAUAUGACUUCCCACUUUCUGGUCAAGAUAGGUUCUCUCAAAGAGAUUACUACCACGGCAAUCUACAUAUCCAUAUUUUUCAAAGAACAAGUUGGCGGUCGCCAUACGAUUUGCACCUACGCCAACUUUUACAGGUCCCCCGAGUAGAUGCCUUUGCAGCAUUUUAGCUUCAUCUCCACCAGCAUAACCCUACAAGAUUGAAAAUGACAAUACCUAAGAUACAGAUUUAGCUCUAACUUUGCCACCUAACAUUGAAUUCCGAAAACCAAAAACCGUCCAAUACACUCAAACCAACUUAAAACCAAUCUUCCACAUCAAAACAACAAAUAUAAAAGCCACCUUUAUAAAGGGCCAACCACCAAACAAACUGAAAAAUACACCAAUCCUUAAAAGUGACAAAAACCUGACUCAACCCGAUCACUUGCCCUGAACCCAAGCAUACCCACUUGGGAACUACAAAACAAGUCGACCAACCAAACUUGAUUUGACCAAAACCCAAAAUGACCCUACAUGAAACAACAUGAAGCCGAAUGACCCGUCACAAACAGGACCUUAAACCCGACCUGAUAACUACAUACACUAGCAAAGUAAAAUGCUGCGAGAAUUGACCCAAUCCUGGAAACCUGGCUAACUCGCCCGAAGGUAGAAAACCAACCCGAUUUUACCUCAGAAUUCGAUGAUCCAAGUCCAAACUGACCCAUCCCGAACCCAACCAGACCCGCUAACCACCUUUAAAUCUACCGUAUGAAAAAUCAAGUACAACAAUGAAAAAGAAGUACAAACAAAACAUACCCUUGUUAAAAUGAGAGGUGAAAUUCCAUAAUCAGCUAAACAUUUAGCUAUGAACUCAACCAUUGGCGUCUUUCCAUUUCCUCCCCACGUCAAGUUCCCAACACUGAUCACCGGCACUGGCAACCUUUCAUCAAAAAAAAAAAAUCCAAUAAAUCAAAUAAACAAACAAACAAUAAUUCUUCGAAGAGUUUCAACAUAAUGUACUCUAAAUUAAGCUUAACAUAAUCAAUAAGGGGGAAGUCGUUUUCUAGACCUGUGCCUAGAGAAGAAGCCGGAGCAGUAUAGUGAGCGGCGGAGAGAUAGAACGACGCCGUACAGAGAAGAAGCGAAGGAGAGGAAAGGACCAAGAGAGCGAUGAAACCCGGAGAGCUUAGCUUGGUCUCUGGCGUAGGCGAUCUCUUUCACCGCCCUCUUCAGUUUCUCCAUUAGCAGCGAAAAGAGAGGACACUGAGACUGGGAAGAGGGAAAUCAUGGAGGGAAUGGAGGGGUAGUUGUUGGGUCGAAUUAUACGGUUUGUUGUCGGAUCCAAGCCCAAUAUUGAUAUGGGUCAAAAGUGAAAACCUUUGAUCCUCUAAUUUCAGAAUUUUGUAAUUAAAAUUUUCAUUACAAUAUAAUAAUUUUUAAAUAUAAUUGUUAUAUAUAUAUAUAUUAUAUUUAAUUAAAAUUUAUGAUUUCUUUUGAAAACGUGACUUUUUUUUAAUUUAUGUAUUUAAUUUAUAUAUUAUAUCAAAAUCUCAUAUUUAUUUUACAUUAAUAACUAUAACAAAAGAAUUUUAACAAUAUUAAGAAUUAAAAUGAUAUUAAUUAAUUUGAAAAAUAUAAAGGCAGAUCGAAGGAGGUGGGAGUGGUGGCUGUCACCCCUUAAUGAUUAAUUUUUGUUUCAAAUUGAAUCAUUAACUUCAUUCAUGAUUUUAUAUGAUUAUCUUUUAAUCAAUUUUUAUACAAAAUCUUAAGUUCGUCAUUUAAUAUAAAAAUUUAAUUUAUAUAACUUUAUUAUAAAAUAUAUGAAUUAAAUGUGUAAUUUGAGAAAUUUUUUUAAAAAAUUAUAACCAAAUACAUUCCUUAAUCAUUUUACCUUUUAUAUUAUCAUUAUUAUAUGUUCCUUUACGAGAUCGAAAUUAAGCAAUGCAUGAAAUGAAAGUGAUGGCAAGGAAAAAGAAAAUGAAAUAUAAAAUAAAAGGAAUAUGAGAACAUUGAUAUUUAGAUUCGAGUCAUUAUAAUUGAUAUCAAAUCAUAUGUUAAUUUAAUGUGAGCUUUCACAUUAUGUUAAUGAGAUAUUAGUUUCUAUUUGUGAUUGUGAUGUAUAAUUUUGAUUAGAACAUUACGAAUUGGAGUAAGUAUGUUAUGAUUUUUCAUCAAAUAUAAUAUAUGAAUGUCAUUAUUAAAAUUUAUAUAAAAUAUAAAUUAAUCACUAUUAAUAAUUUAAAUUUAAAAAUUUUAAAUUAUAUAAUUUAAAUUCGAAAAUAGUUAUUCUGAGAUCAUUACUCGAAAUAUUUAAAUUUGAUUUAUGCUCGAAAAUAUAACAAUUAAAUUUUUUAUCGUAGUUAAAAAAACCACGUCAGCGGGUGGGGCCCGUGGUCCUUAAACGAAGACAAAUGCAAUUACAAGAGGAUCACCACAUUUCAGAACAGUUAUGUUAGGGCCCACCAUUUCUAACCAAAAAGAACCCACUUGAUUGAUCCCAGCACCAUCCACCAAUCAAGUCAAAACCAAUCCGACGGCCCAAAUUGGCUGACUGCGUCAGAGAGUAAGUAAAAGCGACAGUGUACCAAAGCCUUGGAAAAUAGAUGGGUAAAAUAUUUAGAUUCGGGUUUUAAUCAAAAUUUUACAAUAAUUUAUUAAUAUAAAAAUAAAUAUUCUAUUUCCAAAAAAUAUUUUUCAAUAAAUAUAUAAAUUCAGCUAUUAAUGUUUUAUUGAUAUUUCUAUUAAUUUACUAACCUGAUAAUAUUUUUUUGAUAAUUUUAUUUUUAUUAAUUUAAAAAAUUAAAUAAUAUAAAUUACAACUUUUAUUUUUUAAUUUUUUUAUAUUUUUUAUUAACUAUGUUUGUAUUUUUAGAUUUUGUUAUGAAAUUGUACUUAAAAGUUAAUAGGUCUAGAUAUUUUACUUUAAAUAUAAACACCAGCUUUUCAAUUGGAGGAAAGAGAAGCAUCAUGAUUUCUGUCAUCAACUAUAGGACCCACGCGGGCCCACUUUCCCUCUUUGAUGAGACCCCACCAAACACGUUGAAUCAAACGAAGGAGAUGAAUUUCAGGAGUUUUCCUUUUUGUUCCUCUGAUGUUGGGGCCAUCAUCACCGUUCGUUUUAACGACAGGGUGGUAAUUUUGACGGUCCUGAUUGAAUUCGGACCCUGCACCGAAAAAAAGGUUAGGAAAAGGUUGGUAUGAAUUGACCAUUCAGUCCUUUACGGGGAAGGUGAAAAGAACAUUUUCUUAGGGAGCGUAAUGGUCAAUGUCUCGGAGGUCAUUUUCAAAUUUGAUUUGAAUAAGAAAAAAAUAGAAGAAGAAAAUUUAUGAUGUUUCUCAUCACUCGCACUUGGCGGCGCGUGGAUAUUCUCCCUCCUCCCCUUUUGGAAGCUUUGGCCUUUUAAGGCUGUAAAACCUGGUUAGCCAAGUCAGCCUUUGAUUGACCCAAAAGCCAAUGGGAAAAACCCUUUUACUUUCCUUACCUUUUCCUUGAUGAGAUUGAGAUUCUCAAAUGAAUAAAUUCCUUUUUUAUUUGCAAGUUGGUAGAUAUAGUAGAAUAUAAAUUUUGGGAAUAAGUAGAAUCAAGGUGUGUAUUUGAUCGGUUCGGUUUUGAAAUUUUUGAAAAUCGAAUAAAUUGAAUUCUCAUAAAAAGUAAUCAAAAUCGAUCAUACUAUUAUAAAAAAUAAAAAUAAUGAAAUCGACUUGUUUCAAGCUUUCGAUCCGAUUAUUUUGAAUUGAAUAAUGGUUAUAUUUGAAAAAUAUCACUAAUAUUUUUAUAUGAAAAAUAUAUUAUGAAGGAUCAUUUUUCAAUUGGUUCAGUUAUAAAUUUUGGAUAUUAAAAAUUGAUUGAAAUAAUCUAAUAAAUUAUUCUUCUUAAUUGAUGAUCAUCGAAAUAAAAAAAAUUAACUUGAAUUAAUCAAAUUCAAUCAAUUUACUUUGAGUUGAAGUGACUAAUACUCACACAUUGUCAAAAGGAAUGUAACAUUAUGCUUAUUGUCAAUGGCUUGGGCAUUAGCCUAUAUGCCCAAUAUUCCCUAAUUAAAUAAAAAUGUUGAAAAUUUAUGUGGCCAAAAUUUAAUAAACUAAGUACACAUUUUUGCUUAAAAGAACUUUAUUUAAGAAAAUUUUACAUUCUCCUCUAUCUUAUCUUAUCAAAUCAAAUGAUUAUUAGUUAAUGAAUUAAUGUACAUAAUAAAUAAUAAUUACUGAUUACCAUAAGGAAAGUUUAACAUUAUUAAAUAAAUGUCAAUUAUUAGAACAAUUAAACUCAUUCAUUAAUCUUUAGAUAUGAGACGUGCAUCCACGCGCUAGAGCUAAAAAAAUCCACGAAGAGAGAGAGGUGACGUAACCGAACGGGCAACAGACAAAGAGACGCGCAAAACCCUAACCGGGCAGCGGGCAGCACGUAACGCCGUCUUUCUCAGCCCCAUUAACGCCACACUCUCCCGCUUGUCUCUCAAACCAAGUCCCAAUCAUUUUCAUUAGACCCGAGCCUCCAGGCUAGGAGCUAGGCUCGGAAUCUAGAGAAAAAAGCGGAAGCCCACCAUGGAAAAAUAAUGGAACCAAAAGCAAGAGAGAGAAAGCCGAAAAAAUAAAAAUAAAAAUAACAGAAGAGAGAGAGAAAGAGGGAGGCAGUGAGUGAUGGUUUUUUUAGAGAGAGAAAGUGAACAGAGAUGGGGCAGAUCGUGAAGAGGAAGAAGAAAGGGAGGCCGUCGAAGGCGGAUCUGGCUAAAAGAGGGAGUUCGCCGGCGGCACAGUCGGAGACGGAGUUAAGGCGGAGUCACCGGAGGAGAAAUGUGAGGUAUAACAUCGAUUACGACGAUUACCUCGACGAAGACUUCGAGGAAGAAGACGAGGAAGAAGAAAGAAGGAGAGAGAAGAAGCUUAAGCUUGUUCUUAAGCUUAAUCAAGGUCAAGAAGCUGAGCCGCCUUCUCCUCCUUCUCUGCCACCAAGCCGCGGCCGAGGUGUUUCCUCAGCUGCCGCGCGUGGGAGGCGCGCGGGCAGGAAGGAAGUGGAGGAGGAAGAAGUAGAGGAUGAUGAAGAAGAGGAAAGCGAGAAGAGGAAGAAAAAGAUUAAGAAGAGAAGAAUCAACGGUGGCGAUGAAAUUGAUCAUGAUGAUUACGAAGAAGAAGUUGACCAUGAUGAAGAUGAUGAUCAUGGUGAUGCGGAGGUAUGUACUGAAUCAUUUGUACGGAUCUAUCAAGAAAGAGGAAGAAAAGCUGAAGCAAGCAAAAAACACUGAAAAAACUAAAGAAGAAGAAAAUUAAAAUUGUUUCUGUGUUGGAGGGAAGGGGAGAAUUUAGGGGAAGAAAAUAACGGUCGAAGGUCAACUGUAAAAAAAAAAAAAACUACUAACAGAAUCUGAUCACGCUCCCACCUUUCUCUCUCUACUUCUCUUUCUAUAUAUCUAUCUAUCUCUCUAUAUAUCUAUUUCUCUCUCUCUAACCAACUAUUUCUCUCUCUAAAUCUAUGUCUUUUACAAACUCUCUUUCUCUCUCUUUGAAUGUUUGAAUGUACCUAUACAUGUAAUGUCUGCUUUAGUUGUCUCUGUCUCCUGUCACUGUCUCACUCUCAAUCUCUUUCUUUCUCUUUCUCUCUCUCUAUAUCUAUAUCGUACUUCACAGCUUGAGGGGUUUAAUAGUUGGGUUCUGGUAUGGGUUUAAACUUUAAUAUUUUUUUGAUGAUUUGUGUUUUCAAACGUUUUGGGUGUUCUGAAGUUUGGGAGUUCUGGUUUUUAACAGGGAAGAGGGAGAAAAGGGGAAUCCAAAGGACAGGACUCCGUUCCAGGUUUGUUUUUGAUUAAUGGGAUUUCGAUUUUUGCUUUGUUUUUGGGAGGUUUUGGAGUUUGAGUGGUGAGGGGUUUGAGUUUUGGUUUAAUUUUUUUUCUUUUGGUUUUGAUUAGGGACACCGUCAGAUCCUCCAUCAGGGGUUCCAUUGCCUGAUAAGAAGACAUUGGAGUUGAUUCUUGAUAAACUUCAAAAGUGAGUGUAGAACCUUUGUUUUAUUUUUGUUUUCUCUCCCUCUCUGUCUCUUUUUUUCCUCAACUUGAUGUUGCUAAUUCUGAGUUGGGUAUGACUUGUUGCAGGAGAGAUACUUAUGGUGUAUAUGCAGAACCGGCUGAUCCUGAAGAGGUAAGCGGAAUUUACUUCAGAAGUGUUGACAGCUUGUUCUUACUAGGGAUCCUGGCUUUUGGAGUUUAAUUUUGUUUGUCUUAGUAAGGUUUUGAUUGAUUUUGCAGCUUCCUGAUUACCAUGAUGUGAUUGAGCAUCCAAUGGACUUUGCCACGGUGAGGAAGAAGUUGGGAAAUGGGUCUUAUUCUACACUGGAACAAUUUGAGGUAUGUGUUUAUGGUUCAAACAGGCUAGAUGAUGUAGCUGAAGUUCACUUGGGAUGUGGGGUAAUUCCAAAGUGUGUUUCAGAUUUUGCCGGUUUAAUUCUUAUGGUGGUUAGUUAGCGUAAUUCCGGUUUUCCUUUAACUUGCAUCCAUGCUUUGUCAGUAGGUGUUACUUUCUCCUAGUUUCUACUCUUUCAGCAUGUUCGCUUGGCCAUUCCCCUCUAUUCACAAGAAAUAUUUGUUCCUUCCUUUGGUUGCCAAAUGGCCUAAGGAAUAGCCGUUCCCCCUGCAAUCUCUAUUCUCCAUAAUCAAAGAUUAGUUAUUCCCAAUCCCAAUGGUAUUUGUUAUUUCAUGUAUGGGGGAAUAGCUUCUAAAAUUAGUAACGCCACUGACAAAUGAAAUGAAAAAAAAUUUAAGUUUUUAAUUAUAUAUUAUAAAAAAUUAAUAUUUUAAAUUUAAAAAUUAAUUAAAAUUAUUAAUAUUUUAAUAAUAAUAUUUAAAUUAUAAAUAAAAUAUUAAUAAUUUAAAAUGUUAAUGAUUAAAUCAAAAAUAAAAUAUUAAUAUUUUAAAAUGCUAAUAUUUAAAUAAUCAAUUAUUAAUAUUUUAAAUAAAUUAUAAAUUAUUAAUAUUUAAAAAAUAAAAUAAAAUAAAAAUAGAUAAUCAUAUAUUAUAAUAAAGGGUAUUUUUAUUUUUAUCAUUUGUUCCUUUGUUACUCCAAAAUUAUUUUUACCAACUAAACAUUCAAUAAGUCCUUAUAACAAUUUUUAUCUUAUUCCAUUCUCUCAACCAAACUACAUAAUAACAUUCUCAUUCUAUUCUUAACUUAUUUUAUUUUCAUAGAAUACCUAUUCUAUUCCAUUUCAUUCUAUUACGCGAACCAAACGUGCUUUUUUUGUUGCCUUCUUGUGUAAAUGAUAAUAUAGGGACCAAGUAUGAAUUGGAUGCAGUAGGUAUUGUUUACUGAGCUGGGAAAUGGAGUCUCUUCAAUUUCAACUCUAGUAUGUUUUAAUCUUUGUUAGUGUUAUUGGAAAAAAUAAGUUAGCAUCACAUCCCCCACAAAAUAUAUACUUGGUCUAGAGAUAUGUCAUUAAUGUGCGACAAAUUUGUGAAAGUGAAUUUGCGUAGAAGUGUGGAUUUUCGUUGUAGUUAAUGUUUAGUUCUGUUGGUUGAAUAGAGUGCAUUCAAUAUUCAUAUGAUACUAGUGCAUUUUCCUGUCUCAGUUUUGCAACUUUGGGUUAUGUUUUAUAAGUUUUGGCUAAGAAAUGUUCUGGAUUACUAUUAAACAAUGCAAGAUGCAUAAAAUUGGAACUUGCAAAUUGUUGUGAUAAGGUCAAAAGUUUGGUUGACAUGGCUCAAGUGUUGAAUGUGGCAUUGUUGGUGUAUUGUGCUGUAGAGUUGCUAAUAUUAAUGGAGAAUAAAUCUUAUUGGUCGUUUUUGAGCUGACAACCCUCCUGUCAAAAAGUAUUGUUCUAGGAGGAAAACAUGGUUUGUCCUGCAUUGGCUUAUAAAGCUGGUUUUUCUUGAAUGCAGAGUGAUGUCUUCUUAAUAUCCUCUAAUGCAAUGCAAUAUAAUGCACCAGAUACUAUAUACCAUAAACAGGUAUAAUGUUUUUUCCUCCUCUUUCUUGUGUUUAAACAUUUUACUUCUUUGAGUAUCUUCUUGGUUUCCUUUAUCCAACUAUCCAGUUAUUUUUAUGCAGGCACGUUCCAUUCAAGAGCUGGCAAAGAAAAAAUUGGAGAAGUUAAGGAUGGAUGUACAGCGGUAUGAGAAAGACAGCAAGAUAGAACAGAAAACAAAAUCUAACUUCAUAGCAAAGAAACAAACAAAAAAACCUUCCUACUGUGCAACACAGGAACCUGUUGGUUCUGAUUUCUCUUCAGGGGCCACUCUUGCCACUGCUGGAGAUAUCCAGAACUCUUCCAUCACUAUUCAAGCUAAUGCUUGUGAGAGGCCUAGCCAUACUGAUGCGCCUGUAGAGGGUAACUACUCCCUGGCUGAUUAUAAUUUAGAGAAGACUGAAGAACUAUCAUCAGGUAUUAAGUCCCUUUUACAACCCAUUUUUCUAUUUUUGGGGAGUGGCUUUUGAGGAUUAUGCAGCUAUUUCCCAUUUUUUGAAUCUAUAUGUGAAGCCAGUAUGCUUUGGCAUGUGUUAUUAUUCUUCACUCUCUUGGGCUGGAACAAUUCAGGGAUUUCUAAAUGUUCAGAAGAGCCUUCUAUGUAUGAGAUGGUUUUGUUCUAGCUCUUUAAUUAUUCUUCUGUGUCUUAGGGAAGGGUCUCCUUUCAAAAUUUGGGAAGAAGUCAUUUGCACUUGAUGAUAAUCGUCGUGCGACAUACAACAUAUCCACUCAACCGGUGGCCAGAUCAGAGUCAAUAUUUACAACCUUUGAGGCUGAAAUCAAGCAGCUGCUUGUUGUACGUAACAAGCAAAGCAAAUUAAUUUAUCUUCUUCAACUAUCAGCUUUGUACUCACUUGUGUUUAUUUUCUGAAUCAGGUUGGGCUACAAGCAGAAUUUUCAUAUGCUAGGAGUCUGGCUCGCUUUGCUGCAACUCUUGGACCUGUUGCAUGGAAAGUUGCUUCCCGCAGGAUUGAGCAAGCAUUGCCUAUGGGCUUUAAGUUUGGUCGUGGGUGGGUUGGAGAAUAUGAGCCACUUCCAACACCAGUAUUAAUGCUUGAGAAUCAUGCUCCAAAGGAAUCCGCCCCGUUGCGUGCUGCUGAUGCUCGAAAGGAUGAUGUAACUUAUAAGACCCCGGUUCCUUCUACCAGUGUUCGAAAGGAUGAUGUAACUUAUAAGACCCUUGUUCCUGCUAAGCCACAUCCUCUCAAUGUCCCUGCUUCAGAAGAGAAAUCAUCUUCAUUUCGUCCUGGUGGGCCAACGUCAGAAGGAAGGCCAUCUUUGUUUGCUUCUACUGGGCCAAGGCCUGGUAAGCCUGUUAAUACUAUUCAUAAGCUGCAAAAUUUGCCUCCCAGGAAAUUUUCUGAGCCUGAGAACAAGGUCUCAAAGCAAGUUGAGUUGAACUUGCCACCUACUGGGAACCAAAAUAAUGCUGAUCUUAUCACUGAGAAGAAGAGUUCAAAUAAAUCAGAGACAGCAGCUUUGAAGUCAAGAGAGAUGGUUUCAAGGAACAUGAGUCUUGCACAGGCUGUAUCUUCAAAGCAGAUUGAAAAUAAUGUAGCUGUUGAUGGAGAUUUGCCUAAUGGAAAAGCCGCAAGUAAUUGUUUUAACAAUCGAGCAAUAAAUCUAUCUUCUGAUGGUAUUCCUACCCAAAUGGCGAAAGCAGCUGCCUACUAUUCCCAUGGACAGGAGCAGGGCCUCAAUGACCCAGUUCAAUUGAUGAGGAUUUUGGCAGAAAAGGCCCAAAAGCAACAAAAUUCUUCAAAUCAGUCCCCAACUGAUACUCCACCAGCUAUGCCAUCUGUUCCAUCUAUACGAAGAGAUGAUUCGAGCAGUGCUGCUGCUGUUGCUGCUCGUGCCUGGAUGUCUGUAGGAGCCGGAGCCUUCAAGCAAGCAACUGAAAAUUCCAGCACUUCGAAAGGCCAGAUAUCUGCUGAGUCAUUAUACAACCCAGCUAGGGAAUUUCAUCUGCAAGGUUCACGAGUUCAAGGGGAGUUUCCUCUUUCUGCAGGGAUGCAAUUUCAGCCACAGAUUGAGAAGAACAGUUUCCCGCUUCAUACUUUUGCACCCCAACCUGUUCGCUUGAUGAAUGAAGCUCAGUUCCAAAACCGACCUAUGGUUUUCCCUCAACUAGUGGCAACCGACUUGUCUAGGUUCCAAGUGCAGUCCCCUUGGCAAGGUUUUAGUCCGCGAACACAGACAAGGCAGAAGCAGGAUACGCUUCCUCCUGACUUGAAUAUUGGAUUCCAGUCUCCAGGGUCUCCAGUGAAACAGUCGUCAGGCGUUCUGGUUGAUUCUCAGCAGCCAGAUCUGGCUCUGCAGCUCUGAGUGUGAGGUAGACUUCCUGAAAAAUCGAUUGAGAAGGGCUCAGAGGUGGUUAGAUGGUGCUCUACCCUGUCUCAAGGAGGUGGAAAAUUUUGUCCCCUGCCAUGAACGUGGAUGGAAUUGCCAAUUCUUCCAUUAUUUUUAGAUGGUGCUCUGGCAAACUCGAUGAUAGAUUUCGGUCCCAGUCUUGGAUUAGAGUUAAAGAUGGCAGAUUCAGCCCUUAAACCGUCUUACCUAUAUAGUAUGAACUCCUUUUUUCUAUCAGAUGAGAAGGGAGAAUCAAGAAGAACAGGGGCCAAUAAUCAUGAAAUGUAGACAUUUGUUUAAGAUCUCCUUUUCCUAACAAGCAUUUCUGACUCCAAGCAUUUAUAUGGUACCUGAGGGAGCUAAAAUCAUGAGAGUUUUCAGCAGAAGCAUGAUUGUUUUUAUGAAUUUAUUGUCGAUUGAUUCGAUGUUCUUCAUCAGAUGGAUUACAUAUGUAAACAUGGUUCAUGCUUGUACAUUAGUAACAGGUGGAUGAGAAGUAGCUACUCAAAUUUUUAGUUUGUCUUUGUUGCCAUUCAUGUUAUUUGCAUUGAUAUAUCUUCCUGCCUUUCUGUGAACAUGCAGAGAUGGAUUUGCAGUUAAAAGAGGGAAUUGCCAUUCAUCUGUAUUAUGAAUCAUGGAAUCUUACAUGGUACCUAACUUAAAAGCUUUAUUGAAAUAUAGCUAUUAUGCUUUUACAAAUUGGAAAUGGCCUGCCUAGACAAAGUGGGAAUGACCCUUUCAUCAAGAAUCUCCAAUUUUUUUUUUACAAUCCACAGAGGGAGAUUCAAACCCGGUUCUUUGAAUUACACAAAAAUACAUACACUUACUAUCGAUCUCAGACCAAGAUCAGUGGGAGAUGCAUACACUUACCAUCAAUCCCAGAUCGGGAUCAAUGGUAUAGGUUUGAUUCGAAACCCCGAAACUCAUGCCGUUGAAGCUCGUUUCAUGGAAAGAAUGGUCAAGAAAUUCCGGUGGCUUUGCUUUGGCUUGUUCAUAGACAUCAUCUUCCUCCCAGGUUUCUUCUGAUGACUCCUAAGCACACAAACAUCUCCCUGGCAGAUAUAUCUUUUAGAUUCUGAGGAGGAUUCUGUGAAACAGCUGAAGAUGUUUGGGAGCAACGCCAUGGUAUAAUCGAUCAAUGCUCCCAAAAAAGACUGCAAUAUUGUUUAAAAGAUUGUUUCCAUGAAUUUCUCUACCUGCUUAUAACGGGUGGAUGGCCAUUGCAGUUGGGUUUUUAGGCAAUUAGUCAAUGUCGGCGGGCAAUGACCAUUUAAUUUUCAGUUCAAUAUAAGGCACACGUUUAUAUGGUUUAAACCAUUUAUUUUUUUCAAACAACAAAACGUGUUGGACCAAAUAUGUUAUUUUCUAGCAAUUAAUUCCUUUUUUUAUUAAUUUUUUGUGAUUAUUUCUUCUCUAUGGUCUUUGAUCUUAGAGUUUGGUUAAUUGAUGGGCCGGGUUUUGGAACGAGGUCGUUUUUUUUUAUUUAUAUGUAAUGUAUUGUCUGCGUAUAAUAUUUAUGUAUUAUCACUAAAUAAAAUAUUAUUGUUUAUUUUAAUGAUAAUAAUUCGUGUAUUUUUUAUUUUGUUCGAGAAAAUUUGGUAAACUCAUACUAAAAAAAAUAUUAACAAAAAAAAGAAUGGCACAUGGUAGACCAUGGUAUGUUUGAAUGGGAAAGAGGGUGUGGGCUAUUAUUUGACUCUUUUAUUUAAAUAAAAGAUUCAAAAUUAGUUUAAAGAAGGGGAAAAUAAUUAAAAAAAGGGAAAGAACACAAUUGAAUUUCUUUUUUUAUAUAUUUAUAUAUAAAUAUAACAUUAUAAUAAAUGCAAGUUGUAUUUAGUUUUUUUUUUAAUGAAAAAUCCAUGAAGAGAUAAGAUUACAAUUCAUCAUUCAUAAGAUCAAAACUCACUCUUUGUUUUUUCCAAAGAAAAUUUCCGUUUGGUUUUGACCAAUGCUAUGAGAAAUUACCUAGGAAGGCUGAAUGUACUUAAAAAAUGCUAUAAGUCAAGUAUGAUGGGAGUUUGUACUACACGUUUGAUUAAUUAAUAAAUUUUAUUUUCAAAAAAUAAAAAAAAAGCUACAAGUCAAGUAUGAGUUUAGAUUUCUUAUCAUAGAUAAACACCCAAAUUUUCACAAGCCCUUUUCUUUCAUUAUCACAAAAAUGUCCCAAAAAGCAUAGCAACAUAUACAUAGGUGGAAUUGAAGGUGGUGACAGGGAAUGGCGAUUGAUCGUCGUCUCUUAAUUUUUAUUUUUUUAUUAUUAUAUAUGAAAUUUAAUAUAUAUAAUAUAAUUAUUUUUAUAAUUAUGUUUUAUAUAAAAUUUUAAAUUUAUCAUGUGUUGGUACAUAUAUAUAUAUAUAUACUCGAACCAGCAAUGAAACAAAUAAGAGCCAAGCAAACAACCAGAGGAUAAAGGCUGUAAAAAGAGAGGAAAAGAAAAAAGCAAGAGAGGGGCAAAAUGGCAAAUGAAAUGAAAUGGAAGCCGCCUAUUAGGGUCUACCAUUGAAUUUUACCUCGAAAUUGUUAAAACACUGCUUUGCCAAGGCCACGCUUUAUGGGGUCUCACUCCAAACCCACCCUUCCAUCCAGGGCUUAGG